UCCAACAUCCAUCUUGGUGGCGCACGGCCGUGGCAGUGCUCGAAUGUGUUCGGAGCUGCCGUUCAAGUCAGCCCGUCGCCGUGCGCCCUGCUCACCUCCUCCCGCCAGCAGCUAGGUGCAUGCUCGUCUUCCUUUUAAAAUCUCAUUAAUUUGUAGUUUACUACAGUUAUCAUUUUUAUGUGAGAAGACAGCAGUUUUCAUGUGUUAUAGCAAAUUUUUUUUUUGGAUGAAUCACAUUUUGUGUUCCGAACUUUUAAUUUUUUUCAAAAAAUAUCACCUGACUUACAUUUUAACUUCAAAAACUCAUUACCAAAAAAAAAAAAAAAACAGGAUUUAUAUAUCACUUUACAAAAUACGGCGAUGAAAUAAUGAGUUGCUUUGCCAAAUGUUGCAUUAUUCAAUAUAAAAUUGUAGAAAAAUCUUAAAUCCUAAGAAUAUACCAACCCCAAAUUAUGUAAGACAGAUAUAAAUCAAACUUUUUUUAUUCCUAAGUCGAGAGUUUUUGAAGUGAAAAAGUAUAUUAAUGACAUUUUUUGAAAAAUGCUGAAAAUUAAGAUCUUAUGGACACAAACUAUGAUUAACUCUAUAAUUUUUUUUCUUUGAUGAAAUGAACACAUCAACAAACAUAAAGAUAUUGAUCGAUCCUUCACAUCUCAAAUGGACGCAAAUUUAUUUACAUACUCGCUAAAGCCUAAGAAGGGUAAAACUUUCAUAACUCAGAUAUACACAAAUAGUGAAAUACAUACAUACAUACAUAUAUAUAUAUAUAUAUAUAUAUAUCUAUAUAAGCAGCAGUGACAUACAUAUCAAAAUAUCUAGAAGCAGGGGAUUAUUAUUCGUACUUGAUGCUAUAUUGCUCGUGAUUCAUAGCCUUAGAUGCUUCUAGAAAUAAUUGUCCAAGAAUUUGCGCACGCCUUUCAUGAAGCCGGCUUUCUUCGGCUUCUCUUCCUUCUUCUCAUUUCCGAUCCUAAAAUGCUGCCUCAAUUUCUUCAUCUUCUUCUCGCGAUCGAACCUGUCGUAAUCGUACCGUUUGAACACGGCUCUCUUCACCCGAUCCUCCUCUUCUUCGUUGUCGCUGUCGCUGUCAGUGUCCUCGCCGCGGCGGUGGCGGAGGUGGCGGAGGUGGUGGUGCAUCCUCAUCCACCGGCCGGGGAUCCGCUUGCCUCCGCUGCGAACGAUCGGCUGCUCGAAGUCGCUGUUCUCGCCGGAGGAGAGGAUCAUGUCGUUGCCGUAGGGGAUCGGCUCGUUUUCCCUCAUCGUAGGGUAGAAUUUGAAGUGGUGGCGGCAGGGGCGCUUCACGUGGAAGCGGCGGUUGACCGGACGGAAGGUGAUCUCGGUCAGCGGCACGGCGGAGACGACGGCGAAGUUAGGAUCAGUCUCCGCGUUGGAUUUGGCGUCUGCAUCGGCGUUGAACGGUUCGCUGGGGAGGCGGAGCGCGGGAUCGGCAUCGGAGAGAGGAAGCUCGGUGGUGGUGGUGGCGGCACUGACUGCCUUGUCGAUCUGCGGCGGAGCGCGGGCGAGUGAGAUGGUGAAUAAGUAGAAGAGAGCUGCGGCGAUGGUGGCGGUGCGGAAUUUCGACAUGGUGAAGCUGUUGGUAAUUUGGUACUUUUUUGAGGUGUGGAGAGAUCUGUUAUAGGCGGGAUCCGGGCAGAUCGGGCAGGUUGGAAUCCGAGUGGACUGGGGGAGAUGAGAACGGGCAGAGGGGUUGACCGUCCACGUGUCGUAAGAUGGGGCAAUUGUAAAUUUGGAUCUGAGUUUUGUAGGCGUAAGAUGAUGCGUAAUCGAAACAAUCUACGGCAUAGUGCGUUGACUUUUUCUGUCCCUAGGCUUCAUAUUUUCUUCUCUUCACACAUCACAAUUCACACAUUUACUUAAUUAUAUGUGGAAGAGCAUCUUCAACGAGAAUUAUUUUGGAGGAAGUUAGAGUGCGUUUACUUGAGUUUAUAAGUUAUUUAAAAUAAUUUAUAAGUUGUUUAGAAAUUUAUAAUUUUUUUAAAUAUAUUUAGUAAAAGAAAUUUUGUUGUGGUAUUGCCUCGAUGUUGAUUCAUCGUUCUUUCACGGUGGAACCUGACUUUAGUUAGUUCCCGAUGCUCAGCUACACAUGCAGCUUUUGAGUAGAUCAUGCACAUGUUAGUUUUGUGAUCGUUCGAAUUAGAUGAGCUAUUUGAUUUCAAUCUUUAAGCUCCAACAUAAAGAAAACACUAAGUGGAAAGAGAUAGUGUGAGCAGAUGUUGAAGGAAGCAAAAUAAAGAGAGACAAAGAAAAUAGGGGGUAGCAGGGUGGCUGCCCGGAGACGUCACGACAACAUUGCUGCAGCAGCGGUGGUUCAGAGACAACGGAGCAACAACUUCUCAGCUUCUCGGCUUAGAUUUCGGCCUUUCUCAAACCCAAGGUUAGUCCUUUUGCGGCAACACCAUAUUCCGAUACCUCCACUGCCAAGUUCACCAUCAGCCUCACUCCGGCUAACCCCCCAGAGAUAGCAAAUAUAGGGCGAAGAAGACAUACAAGCACUGAGCUUGUUCACUCUUUGACCUAGACAUGGAAAAGACAAGAGGUGAGGUGAAGAUACAUGCAAAACUUCUCUCUUUUACUCGGAAACAUAGAGAGAAUGGAGAAAGGAACAAGAAGGAAUAAGUCAGUUAGGGUUCCAAAUACAUCUCGAGGAACGCAACUGUUAGGACUGCAAUUUAAGUCAAGAGAUGGUCUGCCACAAGUGGGCUAAAGGAGGGUAAUGGGCCUUAGUUUUAGGAUCACAGUGAGAUGUAUUCUUUUUUUAUCUAACCUAAGUGAAGAAUUAAGAUCUCGGUGACUUAACGAGACCUAAAUUCUAAUAAGAUUUCAGGUUUAUAUAUAAAUUUGUGUAUCACUUUGAUUUACUAUGGACGAGAGUUACAUAUUAACUUGAGUACUCUGUAUCUUGGGUGAUAGAAAUUUACAUAUGACAUUUGGUAAUCUGUAUUGGGUGCCCGUAUCCGGUAUAUGAUGAUAACAUCCCCUUAAGGAGCUCGAAAUGUUUAUUGCACUAACUUUUCUUGUUGAUUAAGUUCAUGUGCAAUAAUAAGGUUGAGUGAUACUACUUAAGGAUUAAUAAGACAUUAAUUUAUAUAAGUUGUCAAAAGCUUUAAUUAAUUAAUAGAUGUUGAAUAUCUUAAAGGGUACAAUAAGUCUAAAUACAAGCCUAGCUUUUUGCCCCACGAAUAUUUCUAACGUAUUUUAAACUCAAUCGCAUAUGUUUUGAUAAACUUCCCAGUGGAUCACGCAUCCUGACAAUGCUCUUGACUUUUGAACUUAAUUGCAUAUGCUUUUAUAAACUCUCCAGUGGGUCACUCAUCCUAGAAGUGCUCUAAGUCAAAAGCGAUUAACCUUAAAGUUUCUUCCAAGUAGUCAUCAAUAUAGAAGAUGCAUAUAAUUGAUAUUAUAAUAUAAUUAACACCUAUCAAUUCAUUUAAACUCUCCUUCAAUAUACAGUUUCAUUCAUGCAUACUCUUAAAAUAUGUCGAGAAUGAUAUUUAAGAAUUGUGGUGCAGGCGAAAGAGAGACGACAAAAACAAUGAUCGAUUUUAAAAUAAUAAAUGAAAAAAUUAAUAUUAUCAUUUAGAAUAGCAAUAAUUACUUUUUAUACGACAAUGAUUACUCGAUCAAAUAGUUAAGAAUAGAAGUAUUAAUAAGUGAAAAUAAUUAAAAGUAAAAGUUCUUAUGAAUAAUAAUAAACAUUAUUUAUGAAGAAAUGUAAACUUUCAAAUCGUCCGCAUCGUAUGCGGUUGAAUGCACAGUAGAAUUUGCAAAAGAAUAUAACUAUAACUUCCACCAAUUUAAUUGAUAACUUUAGAUUAUUAAUUUAAAGUACUUCUUUGAAUGAGUUUGCUCACAAAGUUGACUAGCUGAGUAAUGACAAUAUCAAAUUAAACUGAGAGAUAAUAUGGUGCCCGUCGCAUAAAUUAAAAUGUACUAUUAUGUGGGAUAUUUAGGCAAAUUCUGGACCAUGUUAAUUAAUUAUGACAAAAAUUAUUGUGCCCCAUAAUAUUUCAAUAAACAAAGAUAAUGCUUUAAAAAGGAAAAUCAAUUUAUGAUUUUGAACACUUGAGAGAGAGGCCUAUCUGAAUUGAUGAAGUAGGGGAAUGGUGGGUUAAGACAGAAGAGAUCGAGGCUUAUCGUAGAUUUCUACGAACUCGAGCUAUUCAGAUAUAUUCCUUUUAUAAAAAGAAAAGAAAAAAAGAAGAAGAAGAGAUGUACGUCUAUGAUGGAAAUUGUAAACGAUGGUUGGGUUGUAAAUUUGUAAUAGAAAUUAAAUCCUAUUCAUUAAGGUAAAAUAUAACCCUUUGAAUCACUUCUUCUAUUGCUACUAAAACUACAAUAGCAUUGUGGAGAAGAAGAAGCUAAGAGUAGGGAUGGUGGUGCAGUUGUGGUGUUUUCGAGUGGAUCGAUCGUGAUUUGUGUUUUGCACUCGUGCACGCUUCAUUCAAAUUUUCCCUUACAUUAGGGUUAACUAAUUAAUACUCAUGUACAUCAUCGAACUUUUUUUUUGAGAGGCUCAUGUACAUCAUCAACUUAGAGAAUUUCCUUCCUUUUGUUAAUUAGAGAAUUUAAUUUGGUUUUGAUUAUUGAAGUGCCACGCUUAUAUAUUUACUUUAUUUAUCUUUUUGAUCCUCAAAUUAGUAGAGUGUAUCAGGUACUCCCUCCAUCUACAAAAAAUAGUCCUAAAAGAGGACGUCACAAAUUCUAAUAAAAGUAAUUGAGUUUAAUUAUUGUGAGUAGAUUAAAGGUCAUAAUAAAAAGGUUGUAUUGAUAAUGUUAAUUAAAUGUAUUAUGCGUGGAGAUAAAGGUCCAUCAUGUGAUUGAAAGUUGCCAAAAGUGGAAAUAGACUAAUUUUUGUGGACGUCCCAAAAUGGCAAAAAUGAGAUUAUUUUUUGUGGACAUGAGAUUAUUUUUUGUGGACGGAGGGGGUAUUAAAAUUGCACUUGUAAAGAGUUUUAAAUAUUACUCCAUCCGUCCCGCAAAGCUUGAGCAAUUUUUUUUACGCGAAUUUUAAGGAGUUAGUAUUUCGUGUGUUAAAUGUGGUAAGUGAAAAAAUGAAAAUGUGAAUUAAAAAAAAAAACUUUUGCCACAUAAGAAAAGUCCUCAAGCUUCGUGGGACAAUUCGAAAAUGAAUACUGCUCAAACUUCAAGGAAUGGAAAGAGUAAUUAGUAGAAAUUGUCAAGAAUAUUAAAUAUUUCAAAAAAAUUAAUCUAUCAAAUUAUUUCACGUAUUCUUUUGCCUUUUUGUAUCAUAUUUUAUUUGUUGUUCUUUUCUCUUUCUUGAUUGGGAGAAAACCUCGUAACCUUCUGCAUCACUCAAAUCUCAUCUUGUUAUGCCGACCCUUCCCCACGCACACAGCGUUCGCGCCAGAGGCCCGGCAUCCUCGACCACCGCCCAAUCAUUUAUUUUUAUUAUUAUUAUUAUCUAUAUGUUUUUAUGUGAUUAAAAGAAAUUACUUCAUCCGUUCCACGACUCUUGAUACAAUUUCUUUUUCAAUCGUCCCUCGAAUUUUGAAGCAUUUCUAAAUAUGGUAAGAAUUAGCCAAAAAAUAAGGAUUGUUAACUAUAAGACUAUAAAUUAUACAUAAUUUUUAAUGAUUUUUUUUAUAAAAUAAAAUUUAUUGUAAGGCUAUAAAUUAUACAUGAUUUUUAUUUCAAAAAAUCAAGAUUUUGAAAAAUUAUAUCAACCUAUUGUUAGAUAAUAAAAGAGAAAUUUAAUGAUGAAAAAAAUAAUUAUAUACUAUAAUUAGAUGGAAUAAGUCCUANUUUUAAUUUUUAACUUUAUAUAUAUAUAUAUAUAUAUAUAUAUAUAUAUAUUGAUGAAAUCUCGGCGGUCGCCCGGUCUGUUUUUUUUUUUACUAAAAAUUCAUUAAAAUCAUCUGAUGAAAUCUCGUCCGAUCCUAAUUAAAUUCUUAGAUCCGUCCCUGCACCCAUGCAGUGGUGGCAGCGGUGAUUUUUAUGGGAGAGCUAAGGUUCGAUGGAAACAAUAUUCUUCUAUUAAUAAAAAAUAUAAUAUUUAAUUAAAUAAAUUAAAAGACUAAAAAGAGUAAGAACUGAUCUUUCUCGCCCGCGCCAUUGAUUGUGCAUGUGUGGAAAGAAAUAAGGAAAAAGAAUGAAAAACCGUUUCUAUUUUUUAAAUUACAAACUUGAUAUAUAUAUAUAUAUAUAUAUACACCUUAAUUAUGAAUUAAUUAAUUAUUUCUAAUAAUCAAUUAUCAAAAACUGUAAAAUAAAUAUAAAAAAUACUCCCUCCGUCCCAAUAAUCAUGUCCCAUUUCUUUUGGGCACGGAGACUAAGGAGUGUUGAAUUAGUGUUGUAAAGUGUAAGGCCCCACAUGUUUAAGAAAAAGUAAAUAUGGCCUAAUCAUUCUUGUAAAAUUAGCAAAACUGAAUUCAGUAAAUUAAACAACAAAAAAUCUGCAAAUUUCAACAAAAUCUUUACAACAAAUUUCAACAAAAUCUGCAAGAACAGAAAAUACAACAAAAUUCUGCAAAUUUCAACAAAAUCUUCAUCCUCCUCAACAAAUUUCAACAAUUCAUUCUGCAAAUUUUUCAUCAUCUUCUGUAAUCAAGAACAGAAAAUGCAACAACCAAUGCCGAACUCAACGAAAACAAAACAAAUUCAGUUCUCAAUCAAUCACCACGCGAAUUACCAGAGCCGCCGCAUCACACUGGAACUCCAGCGAGUCGCCGGUCUUCUCGGCCUCGGCACUGCUGAGGGCCGGCGAGAUUAUCUUCCUAUCUCCCAAUUCGUGUGAAGAAGACACAAGGCUCAAAACUCACUCACAAUUUCGUGCCCUAGCUCCUCCUCCAGUGAAUCGCCGUCACUGCGGGCAGUGGAGGGCCGACACCUCCUUCUAUCUCUUCUCUUCUCCUUUCUCGGCUGAGAGCCCCAAUCGGUGCAAAUAGCCUCAAUUCACAGAUGUCUCUUCCAAUUCCUUAUAUUAGAAAAAGGUAAGGAAGUGGGUCGUCCACCAAUACAUCCGCCCUAGAUCUGUGCAAAUAGCCUCAAUUCACAGAUCUUCAUCCUCAUAUGUAUUAGGCGAGCCCUAAUUUCUGGAGAGAGAAAAAAAACAGAGAAGAGAGAAGGUGGAUUUACAGAGGAGAGGCUUAGAUCUGUGCAAACGGGUGCGGCGCCGGAGGAAGGAUGGGGAAGGAGACGGCGCCGGAGGAACGAUGGGGAAGGAGGCUGUGCCGGAGAAAUGAUGGGGGAAGGAAGGGGAGGUGGCGCCAAAAGUGAUGGUUUCCUAAGUCAUAGAAAAUAGAAUUAACACUUAGAGGAUGUUUGGCUGAGCUUAUAAGCUCCUUCAAAGUGUUUGACAAAAUAAACUCCUAAACAGCUUAUAAGCUCCAAGAGCUGGAACUUAUAAGGUCUCAAAAAAAAUAAGUUCAUCUAUCCCAACUUAUUUUUUUAUAAUCUCAUAUACAACAAUCAUUUUACAAUUAUUUUUCAACUAUAAUUUAUUAUUUUUAUCAUAUAUCAUUCAAGUUCAUUUUUCUUCGAUUUUCUCUCUCUAAAAAAAUAUUCUCUCUCUAGCAAAAAAUUCUCUCUCUAGUUUAUAAGCUCAAUUAUCCAAACACUUUGACAACUUAUAAGCUCUUAAAAAUUAUAUUUUAUAAACUCUUGAAAUAUCUUAUAAGUUCCAAGAUAAGCUUAGCCAAACACCCUCCUAGUCAAUUUUGAAACGCGCACAAAUUAAUUUGGGGUGAUUCUAUUCAUAGCCCCAUUUUUACUCCUUAUAGCCCCCUUUUAAAAUAUUAUUAAUAAUAAAUUAAAAAUUUACUAUUUUAUCCUAUAUUGUAUAGCCCCUAAAUUUUACUUAUUAAAUUUUAAAUUAAUUCAUCACUUCAAUUUCUAUUUCUUUUUACUACAUAUUUUCUAUCUUAAUAUUGAUCGCCCCUAUUUGUAUUCAUACUUCAUAGCCCCAUUUGCCAUUUGCGUUCAUAACCCCCAUUUGCCAUUUGAUUUCAUAGCCCUCCGUCGACAGCAAUGACGCCGCCGACUAGCGAUGUCCGACCAGCUGACCCUUUCCUUUCAGGGUCUCCGAUCUCCAGAAACGCCGGAAAUGUCGCGGCGGUGUGUGUCUGCACCAGGAUUUAGAGAUUCAGACGAGUGUAGGAGGAGGUGCGGCGCCUAAUGGAAGCGUCGUCCUUGCCGGACCUCGGUGUUACAGCGGCGAAAUUUAGUGGUGUGAGAAGGGCGGAAAUCCGCGGGAAAAGAGAGCGAGCUCUAUUAUGAGCGGAAAUUCUGAGCGAUUGAGAGAAGCUCCGGUGCGAGACAUCGAUGUACACCGGAGAGAAGGCGCAGACUUGAGUCUCUUCACCACAAAUCUUUGUUCAGCAUCUGUUGUGGCUACACACGCACUUCCAAAGGUUCCCACCCCAAGCAACUCAAUAGAAGCCAAGCUUGCAUCUUUGACAUCAAAAUCAGGGCGAAAUUCAGAAAGCAGAAGCAGAUUGGGAUGUGAUCUUGAUGAACUGCGUAGGCAUGAAAUGUCAAAGGUCAGAUCACCAAAGGAAGAAGUCAGAGAGAGUGCUGGUGCUCCUGGAAGGUUGAUGACAGAGUUCCCAUAUCUCCUGUUUCUUGACAGCAGCAGCCACCAGCGUCUCCCAGUUAUCAUAGAUUGCAGAUAUUUUCCCAUAAACUUCUCAACUAAGUAUGUGCCAAUCGUUCUUUAAGCCACAUCUUGCAGAAAUCAACAAAUCGAAUUCUUAACUAACACGGAAUUGCUCAAUUGGCUUUGUAGUAAAACAGUUGAUGGCCUAAAAUUGCAGGGCGGCGGAGCGGCGAUUUCAGACGGAUAAGCUAGGGCUCGACUUUUCCCUUCAUUUGUGCGCUUUCAGAGAGAGGAACCGUUCGCCGGAUUUCAGACGAGCCACAGCGGCAGAACUUGUGAGUUAGAGGGGAGGCGACUGAUCUGUGUUGUGGAAAACGCAAGGGAGAGAGAGGAGGGCUUUUCCAGCCGUGGGUGUUAGGGAGAAGAGAGAUGUCCAUUUCUUGGGCUGAGAAUUAUUAAGGAAAUUUAAUAAAAUUUGGGCUAUACAAUCUAGGGUAAAGUAGUAAAUUUUUAAUUAAUUAUUAUAUAAUAUUUUAAAAGGGGGCUAUAAGACUACCCACAGUGUGACACUUAUCCAACCCAAUCUUACUCAACUUUUUAAUAAAACUAGUACGACCAUCCGUGCGAUGCACGGCGAAAUCGAAAUUAAAUGAUAUAUUUAAAUAAAUAGAUAUAAAUAUUAAAUAGAAACAAAAUAUAAUAAAUGCAAAAUAUGGUUUUAAAAUAAACUAAUUACUCAAUAAAAAUCCGAAUUUAAGAACGUAAUUUUCAAUUAUGUAUAAAGUGUAAUGAUAAUUAUAAUUAUUAAAUUAUUUUAAAUAAUUUGAUAAUGCAAAUUAAUAUUACAGAUUAUUAUUAUAGAGUAUUUCACAUAAUAAUAAUAAUAAUAAUAAUAAUAAUAAUAAUAAUAAUAAUAAUAAUAAUAAUAAUAAUAAUAAUAUCAUAGACAAACAUAAAUAAAAAGUUAGAAAAUUUUUAACAAAGAGAAAGAAAAUAAAAUAUUUUAAAAUUUUAAUAACCUAUUCAUUUUAAAUUCAUUUUUUAUAAUUUUUAUAUCAUACAUUAAAGAUCUUCUGACCAACUUAAACUUAAGAUGAACAUUGAAUUAUUUUUUUUUAUAAAUUAAAUUUGACAAUGUUUAAAAAAGAAUUAAAAUUAUAAAAAGAAAAGAAAAUAAAUAGUAAAAAAAUUGAUGGGAGAAGAGAGAAUAAAAAAAGAGGAAAAAAAAAGAGAGGGAGAAAACUCUUCUUUUAUAUAUUAUAUAGAUAUUGAUUUCUCUCUCAUCCACCUACACAACCCACAACCUAUAUAAUUUUCACUUGUGACACCAACCCAAUCUACAUAUUUCUUCUUUUUACUUUAUUUUUAAUUAUCUAAUAUCUAAAAUAAAAUAUAAAUUAAAAUUAAAUAUUUAUUUAUUAUUUUUGACAAAAUAAAAUAAAUAUUUAUUUAUUUUUUUAAAAAAAAUUGUAAUCAUAUUAUAAUUAAAUAUUGUCAUAUGGAGUAUUAUAAUUGAUACUUAACUCAAUCACAAAUGAAGAUUACAAGAAUUAACUAAAAUUAAGUAAAUCAAAGUACGUUUUUUAUAAAGCUGAAAAUAAUAUAAAUUUUAAUAUAGCUUUAAUAUUUUUUUUACAAAAAAGGUUAUUAUAAAAAUUUAUCUAAACAAUAUUUAAUCCACCAAUUAAAUAUUGACACAUGGCUUGUUAAAAAAAGAGGGAGAUGGCGUGACCCGGGGCGGCUGAGGCACCCGGUCACCCAAAUUUGAUGACUUUCCAAUUAUUUUUAUAAAUAAAGCGUUUUGUCCUAUGCGGGUGACUCUCCAUGAGAGUCACCGUUGGGAAUGGUCUAAGGAGGAGUAAAAUGGGGGCUAUGACUAGAAUCACCCUUUUAAGUUUGGUCAUUUUGCCAACUUCAAUAUUUUUCUUUUUUCUCCUAAAAAAAAAGAGUUUUUGUUUUCUUUUUUUAGUUGGUGGAAGAUGAAUAUUGAGGAUUGAACCCAAACCUUAAUAGAGAGGGUGCAUAGCUUGUAAUAAGGUUAAAUAAAAAAUAAAAAAUUACCAUCGUGAGAAUAUAUGCACUGAAUGUAUAAAAUAAUUAUAUUAUGAAAAUGCAUUAAAUACGUAAUGUUAUUUAUCCAUUAAGUGCAUUUAUCUCACAGUUCUCACGAUUAAAAAAAUUUAUUUGAACUUCAACCAUGUAUAUAUAUUUUUUAACGCAAAUUCUUGCGUGAGGUCAACCUCACUGCAUGAGGCGGGUUUGCCCGACCCGAAUUCACACCCGGCCCGACCCGUAGUACAAAAUAUAAAAGCUUUUUUCUAAUUAUUUUUCAUUUCCUCUCAUUUUUUUGCCCUAAUUUCUCUCCACCGUUUCAACACUCUCUCGGUCUCGGCUCUUUCAAUUCUUCUCCCCACUACUUCAAUUCUUCACUCAAAUCUACUGAAAAUCUGCUCUCGCUCAAGUUCUUCUUCGAUUUGUCUCUUCCCCGCUGUGAUUCCGUUCUUCGUUUCCGAUCAAGGUACGUUCGUCUUCAUUUUUUGUAUUUUUUCCAAUCAAGCGCACACACACAUACGCGACGCUGCUGUCGCUGCUUCUCUCGAUCCAGAGCCGCCCCGCCACGUCGCUCCGACAGCGGUCGCCCGAUGUCACCGCCGCUGAAGCAGCCGCCUGCUGCCGCCGCCUGGAGCCGUUGUUGCUGCCUCAAGUCGCCGUCUGACCUGCAGCUACCGCCUCGCUCGGAUGUUGGAUACCCCUUGAUGACACUACGCCUCGCUUGGAGUAUCUCCGGCGAGUUCAUUUCCAGAAAUUAAAAUAUGGACAAUAGUUGAUCGAUUUGGGAACUGGGGUAUAUAUUCAGUUAUAUUCUCGUGUUGUUUGUAAAUAUUUAUGUGUAAUUGAAUUGUUUUUUUCUUCUCUUGUUUUGAAGGGCCCCGAAGUAUAUAUAACCCAUUUUAUUUGUUGGUUCUUUUGCUCCUAUUCUUUCUUUUCUUGCUUUUGUUUGCACGACCUCAUCCCUGAAUUGAAGAAUUUUAUUGGAUGAUGCUGCUAAAUUGGGUGGAUCUUUUUUAUUUGCUUGAGAAAUUGCUAUAAAUUGGGGGAUAGGCUUGUAAUUUGCUGGUGUUAGUUAAACUAGUUCUUGAUUUGAGAAAUAAUGAGUAUGAAUAAAAUUAAUUAUUUGCAUUUGCAUAUUAAUUAGUUAUUUGCUGAAGUAAUUAUUGUAAUAAGAAAAAGUAAUUAUUGAUAUAAAUAAAAGUAAUAAUCAAGUAAACAUUAUCAUAAUCAAGUAAUAAAAGUAAUUAUUUGUUUGAAUUUGUAUUUUAGUUAUUUAAUCAAGUAAACAUUAUCAUAAUAAAAAGUAAUAAUUGAUAUGAUGAAAAGUAAUGUUUUAAAAAUAUUACAUUUAUUCACAAUAAUGCUUAUUUUUAUUCAUAAGAACAUUUACUUUUAUCAAUUUGUUCAAGGAAUUAUUUUUUAAAGUAAAAGUAAUUAUUGAUAUAAAGAAAAGUAAAAUUAUUUUUAUUGGCUAUAAUUUUUAUUCUUAGCUAUUUGGUUAAGUAAUUAUUGUCGUAAUAAAAAAUACUAGUUUUACAAUGAAAUGUAAUAUUUUUAAAUUACUACAUUUGUUCAUGAUAAUUGUUACUUUUAUUCAUUAAAAUUUGUACUUUUAGUUAUUUGGUCAAAUAAUUAUCAUUGUAAAAUAAAGUAAUUAUUGAUAUAUAUAAAAGUAAUGAUAUUUUUACUUGUUAGAACUUGUAAUUUUAUAUAUUUGGUCAAGUAAUCAUUAUUUAAAGAAAAUGUAAUUGUUGAUUUGAUGGAAAGUAAUGUUUCAAAACUAUUACAUUUGUCCACGAUAAUUGUUACUUUUAUUCAUGAGAAUUUGUACUUUUAGUUAUUUGCUCAAAUAAUUAUUGAUAUGAAGAAAAGUAAUGUUAUUUUUACUCGCGAGAACUUGUAUUUUUAACUAUUUGGUCAAGUAAUUAUUAUCGUAAGAAAAUGUAAUUAUUGAUAUGAAGAAAUAUAAUAUUUUUAAAACUUUACUUUUCUUCAUAUUAUUUUUACUUUUCAUCGUAAUUGUAAAAUCACAAAUAAAAUACAAAAAAAAAAGAAAUCACUGCAAAAAAAUGUAGAAAAUAAAAUAGAAAUAAAAUAUUAAAAAAAGAUCACAAAUAAAUGAAAAAUAAAUAAAUGUUGCAUUACACAAAACCACUAUAAAAAAAGUAGAAAAUAAAAUAUAAAAAAACAUAAAUAAAGAAAAAUAAAUAAAUGUUGCAUCACACAAAAAAACCACUUGUAAUUUUGUAUAUUUGGUCAAGUAAUAUUGUCGUAAUAAAAAGUAACUAUUGAUGUGAUGAAAAGUAAUAUUUCAAAAACGUUACAUUUAUUCAUAUCAAUACUUAUUUAUUAUUAUAAUAAUAAUAAAUAUUUCGAAUAACAUAAAAAUAAAUAGUAGAAUAAAGAAAAAAUAUCAAAUAAUUAUUCAAGUAAUUAUUGUCGUAAGGAAAAGUAAUUAUUCAAAUAGAUUAAAAAUAUAUAAAAGAAAUAAUAAAAAAAUAUUGAAAGAAACUGAAAAAUAUAAAAAAACGAAAACAUAAUUAAAAUACAAAAAAAAAUAUUCAAAAAAUAUAUAAAAGAAAUAAUAAAAAAAUAUUGAAAGAAACUGAAAAAUAGAAAAAAAAAAACAAAAAAAUGCAAACAGAAAAAAAACGCCUCAAAUGGAAAAAAAGAUCACAAAUAAAUGAAAAAUAAAUAAAUGUUGCAUUACACAAAACCACUAUAAAAAAAGUAGAAAUAAACUAUAAAAAAAACAUAAAUAAAGAAAAAUAAAUAAAUGUUGCAUCACACAAAAAAACCACUUGUAAUUUUGUAUAUUUGGUCAAGUAAUAUUGUCGUAAUAAAAAGUAACUAUUGAUGUGAUGAAAAGUAAUAUUUCAAAAACGUUACAUUUCUUCAUAUCAAUACUUAUUUAUUAUUAUAAUAAUAAUAAAUAUUUCGAAUAACAUAAAAAUAAAUAGUAGAAUAAAGAAAAAAUAUCAAAUAAUUAUUCAAGUAAUUAUUGUCGUAAGGAAAAGUAAUUAUUCAAAUAGAUUAAAAAUAUAUAAAAGAAAUAAUAAAAAAAUAUUGAAAGAAACUGAAAAAUAUAAAAAAACGAAAACAUAAUUAAAAUACAAAAAAAAAAUAUUCAAAAAAUAAUAUAAAAGAAAUAAUAAAAAAAUAUUGAAAGAAACUGAAAAAAUAGAAAAAAAAAAAACAAAAUAAAAUAGCAAACAGAAAAAAAACGCCUCAAAUGGGGUUUGAACACACACCCUCCACAAGUUCAAAGAUUUUAAGGCACAAAACCCACANGAAAUAAUAAAAAAAUAAUUGAAAGAAAACUGAAAAAAUAUAAAAAAACGAAAAACAAUAAUUAAAAACAAAAAAAUAAUUCAAAAAAUAUAUAAAAGAAAUAUAAAAAAAAUAUUGAAAGAAACUGAAAAAUAGAAAAAAAAACAAAACAAAAAAAUAGCAAAACAGAAAAAAAACGCCUCAAAAUGGGGUUUGAACACACACCCUCCACAAGUUCAAAGAUUUUAAGGCAUAAACCCACACCCAUCUCAGCACAAGCCACUUUUGUUUUAAUAUGUGGAAACAGUGUUAUUUAGUGCACUCCUAGACCCGCGCCCAGACCCAUUUGACCCGCUUCCGACCCGUCUCAUGGUAUGAGGUCAACCUCACCCAAGACCAACCCAUUUUUUAAAAAUUAAGAUAAAAGUUAUUGAAAGCUGAAAAGGACAUCAACAUUUCAAUGAAGAAUUAUAUUUUAUUUAAAUAAAUCAAUCACUUCUAUUUAAAUAACCUUCCAAAAUUGUGUAAAAAGUUUCAUGAAAGGAAAUUUGCCCACCUUCAAAUCUUAAAAAACGCAACAUUUUCGAUUCACAUGAUAGAGAGUUCAAAAAUUAUAUGAUUGCCACCCUUCAAUUCUUAUGAAAAUAAAAUUUUUAUUUAUAGAGAAAUAAAGUUUUAGGUUCAUACGAUAUGGUUUAAUUGUGAAUCUAUGAUACAAUCAUCAUACAACCUGUCUAAAAUUAUUGAUGAAAAUCUCUAUUUAAUUAACGUACUCGGCAAUACAAUGCCUCCGAUAUGAAGAAUGAAACAAAAUUGGGUGUGGAAGAAAAGAAAAUGUACAAUAUGGUUUAAAGUUGGAGCUCACUUCAAUAUUUUAAUAUACAUAGGCACAAAUCAAAUGAAAUGGCAUAAGAUAAUGCUUUUAUAUCACAAGACUAACUAGAGUGUCACAUUUUUAUAUACAAGUAGAAUCGAAAUAGUAUUCUCCUAUUGUAUCAACCAACGCUACAAUGCUACAUGACAAUUUUAUACACAAUUAGAAUUGAAUUAUAUUCAUCUUGUCAAACUUGAGUUUCCAAGUAGAGAAUCUGAAUAAUUCUCUUGAAAUUUAUUCCAAAGCUUAUAUUAGAAUAUACAGAUCACAGCCAUUUGGUUUGUAAGAUCCAAGACACACUUUCUUGGAGGAGCUGAAACUUCUGAUCCACUGCCACAUUCUGGAAAAUCUGCAUUUUGCUGCAGAACUCAGCUGACUCUUCCUUGCAAACAAAUGAUCCAGCGCACGAGCAAUGCUCGGCUAAAUGUGCAGCUUUGAUCUGAUUGCACUUGAGGCACACCAGGUCUUGAAGGUGGUACAGCCUUUCCCUCUGGCGAAUAAUCUGGAGGAGAGCAUUCUCCAUCACUUCACGGUCGUAAGCUUGCCCACAUUGAGCCACACCACAACGCCAUUCCUGGCCAAUUAAUCCCCUGUCACGGCACAGAUCUAGAUCCCUGCAGUCGUUGCAGUAACUGCAUACAGAAUGAUGUGAAUCAGGAAUUUUGGGUAUGAUGCUUAGCAUGAAUGCUACUUUUCAAAAACUAGAAGCUAAGGAAUAUUAGAUCUUUAUGUAGUACUGUCUGCUGUGACCAAUUCAAGCACUACAAUAAUCAUUAAACAGCAGUUCUAAAGAUAUUAUAGAUUAGAAGAGACGCACGACAGAACCAUAAACCUUCAGCCAUUUUUACCUGCAAAUGACAUUUGGUAAAGUUAAGGAUGUCUGUAGAUUAUGAAAUUCAGCCUCCGGAUCGAAUUCUCUUACACGGACCAAUUUCAGAAGAUUCCUUCUCAUGACCUGUCAAAAACCAAGAAAACAAAUUACAUAAAUAAGACAUCUUCAUUCUGCAACAACCAAAGAAUCACUAGAGGAGCUACAUAUGAGUAUAAUUCCUAUGUGCUCUUCAGCAUGUAUGAAUCCAAACAUGUGAAAUCACAACUGAUUUAUUUUGUUAUAGCUAAAUUGAACUAUAUAUACAACUAUCGCAUGUAUGACAUUGCUCAUGUAAAAUGUUCAGCUAGACUUAUUUAGAAGUAGAGAUGGCUACAAUACGAAUCUUGCAUAACGUGCUAAAAAAGUUGCAAGUAGAUUAAAUGACCAGAUAGAAACCUGCUAAGAAGGAAAAUAUACAAUAUAUAACAUCUGGCAUCAAAGGAGCUGAUGCCCAAUAAAAUCGCGAAUGCUCAAAACCAUGAAAUAUUGCAGAAAAACAUCUUCUGAUCAAGUAAAGGAUUCCUUGUCUCUCAAAACCAUGAAAUAUUGCAGAAAAAUAACAUCUUCUGAUCAAGCAAAGUAUUCCUUGUCAUUCAAAGCAAAAUAUAGAAGACUAAUUAUUUUCUAAAUCGAAUGUCCUUAGACCUAUGUACAUUGCACAUUCAUUUUUUAAAAAUAUAAUACAUCAUUUUGUCCAAAAUGCAAUCUGCAAGUAGCUACGGAUGGGUAGCAGUAAUGUACUUUUGCAGCGAAGUGAUGAAAGGGAUCAGUAUAGAAGCGAAAUACAUAAUAAAUUUAUAGAUUUUUGGUACUGGGAAAAUGUUAGAGAUAGUCUGUACCAGAACUUCAUGCUGAACGUUUUGGUCAAGUGCCAAAACUGCACAGACAUACUUGAUGAAAUCCAGAGCAGCGUCCCCCUUUUGGACAUUGGCUGAAGAAUGCAAACCUUCAGGAGGAUCACUCUCAGACUUGUUUCUUCCUUUUAUGUGAAGAUGUGGAUCACAUACAAUUUUGAGAAGUUUAUCUGUAAAGUCAGAUGCAAUCUAUAGAACAUAGAAUUAGAUCAUCAAGUCCUAAAUUUUAGACUGUUAGGAUUUAGAACAUACUUUAAAUGAAUUAAGUAUUACCUUUUUCUUCAGGAAUUCUGUUUUCUGUGAUUCAAGAAUCUCAGCAGUUGCAGCUGUAAUUGAUGGAGUGCACAAGUCUCCCGUGCCAGAUGCUCGCUUUUCUGCUUCUUCUUGUGCAAACUUCCAUGGAAAAUACAAAAAUUCUGAUACAAUUAAGAUAAAGUGAUCCUGCACAAAAGACAAAUAGUUGAUUAGGUAGUACGCCAGUACAUGCAACGAUUAUGCAGCUGAUACUAACUCUGGAAUUCAUUUAGGACUAGCAUGACAGCGUCUUUGCCUAACUAAAUGGCUAAGAAUAUUUUCAUUUGAAAGGAGGUUCAGGGAACAGGUAAGGAUAGAUAUUAAUUAAGGUCAUUUUUCUGGUCUAACGUAUUUGUAGUGUUGUUGUUAACAACAAUGGUUACACGAGUGUGAAGCUGCUAAAGCGUCUUCGUGGCUAAUAUAUUUCUUUGUUUCUCUUUUGGGAACUCUGAGUAAGUUUUGAUGCGAAAGAACCUUCAGAAGUAAAGAUGGACAAUUUGAUCCUGAAAAGAUAAAGAAGUAUUAACUUUCACAUGGAUGAUUAGCCUACCUGAGUUGCUUUUGUCAAGUUUUCAGCUAUGGCCCAGUUGGAGACGAUAUCUACUUGAGAGUCAGCACACACACUUUCUGCAACAGCACUAGUACAUUCUUCUGUGGAUCUAUCUUCUGAUCUAGCUUGAAUUCCACCAUAGUUGUACUAAGGUUGAGAAACAAAAAGUUGGCAAUGAAAUUAAUGUAUCAGGAAAAAAAAAACAAUUGCACAAUAGAUAUUAUCAAUCUCCAGAUGUAAACACUGAUUUCUAACCCACAAAUACUGGCAUUGCACACCUAUUUUAAAUAGGUGUCUAAAAUUGGUAGUUCAUUGCUAGAAUAAUGUUCUUGUAAUAUUGUCGCAUGUUAAAAAUGCUGGAUAUAACACUUUCCAGGUGCCUAAUCACUUGGUGGCAUACAAAUGCUUUAAAUCCUUGUCCAAGUCCUUACUCUUCAGAAGGCAAACAAAUUAUGCUUUCUCCAUGUCUUGGCUCUAUGAGGAAGUAAUAAUCAUUUUUUAGAAGCAUAUUCAAAUGCCAAGGGCUAUAACAAUUAUAUUAUUCUCACGUAACGUAACCUAAGUCUACACUGAGCAGCUAUCUAUUCAGGUGAAAUAAAACUGAUAAAUGUAGAAAAAGAGAAAAUCACUCCACAAUCAAAUCGAUAAUAUCACAACAAUCAAUCAAAGAUGUAACAUGAUCUUACAAUAUUGAAAUAAUCAAUGUUUUAUUCUCAACAAACUAAGAUGGAUUGUUUACCUGAUCCAUAAAGAGUAAGGAAUGCCAAAACUGGAAAGGCUCGAGUUCAAUCCACUCAAACAAGUCCCUGCUACAAAGGAAGUUUGAGAUGACAUGCACCACCCAAGAAAACAACCCUUAAAAGAGGCCCACAUAUACAAAAUCCACCAACCCAGCCACCUCCCUCCACAAACAUACUCGCAUAAAUAUAAUAAGUCCCAAAACACAUGUUGAGGCGAACCUUGUUUGAAGAGUUUUAAGUACACUCUCACAAUAAGCUUUUGCGGCAGAUAGAUCUGACUUUCCAGUAUCAAUUAUAAUUCUGCUGAAGCUUGCAAAUACAAUAGUUGCACCUAAUUUGCGGAACUCCGCCAAAAGCAAAGCAAACACCUUUUGCAUAACCUGUCAGUGAAGAUAUCAUCUAUUCACUGAGUAAAGAUUUAUUGAGCACCUUACAAAAUGGACAAACAUGCUUUCACAAAUUGAAGUAUGUGAAACAGCAUCUAUUUUCUCUUUUGAGUUGUGGAUUCCAACAACUCAACUUAGAUAUCACUGGAUUGGCAAACACCCAUCAGUUAAAUUAGCUAAAAGGAACUGUUGAAGAGAUCUCAACUGUAUGCAAUGCAAUAUCCCUUGAAGCAAACAUAAAGAUCAAUUAAAAGUAAAACCUAAAAAUAGCAGUCAGCUGAACACUGUUGCUGAGGUUUAAAACACGAGAAAUAGGAAAAACAAUUUAAAAUUAUAAUACCAGUGUUGUGACUCAUAUGCAACCCAUCAUAUUUCUUUAUCAAUUGAACAAGACUUAUUUCCCUGGAAAGAGAGAUCACCUUAUGAAGCAUGCGAUGGAGAGCUGGGUCAUGAAGUUUAGAUACCGGACUGCAAAUUGUGAAAGGAGGUUAGUAUAAAAACUAUGAUAUACGUAGGAAUAAAGUUCAGUCAGAAACCUGCAAAGCCAUCGGUAGAGAUGCUGUAAUACAGCAUCUGCAAAGACAUUUCCUGAUGUAACUGCAUCGGCAAGGCAUCUUUGGAUUAAUUGUUUCAGAACACGAAAUGCAGGAGCACAUGAAAUUUCCUCAUCAUAACAAUAUUGUUUCUCUGUAUUAGAUGAAGAUGAAUUCAUGUCCUGGUCAAAACCAAAUAAUGCCCCUCCUUCCAUUUCAUUCACUUGGUUACUUUUGAGAAGAGCAUUGACAGUUAGGUGAUGGAUCUAAAAAAUAAGAGACACAGAUUACUUUAAUCACACAGAGGGAGAAAGGGGAAAACUGAAGUAAAGAAGGGAGAACGAGAGAUAAGCAAAUUAUACCUUAAGCUCAACUGUAACUUUCCUAUAUGCACCAGGAUAAGUGAGGAUAGGUUGAUUGACCUGGUUACAUGAAUCAUUAUAAACUCCCUGAUAUCUAACAAUGGAAGAUGUAUUUUUCCUGUAAUAUCACUAACCAAAUUUGGCCAAUACAAAUAAUUCCACCCUCUAGCAAAAUAUAACUCAGUCUUAAGUCUAAAUAACUUACCUCAUCUAUAAAGCAGGGUACAUCUUCAUUAGUGCCUCCCAAGUCUGGGAAGCCAUUAUCAGAUAUCCACAGAACCUGUUGGAUUAGAUUUCAUGACGAUGAACUUAGGAUGAAAUAUAUAAGACGGAAAGUGGCUCAUUAUCUCUUUCAAUCUUUACUAAAGGUCGAAAGGAAAGUAAAUCUUAACAAAGAUAAAGAAGGCAAAAACCUGUUGCUGAUCACGCAAAGCUCUCGAGAAGAAAAUAUCAGCGGUAUGUAUGAGCCAAUCAACUUCAAAAUUUCCUAAUGGAACCUGUUUAGAUAUAAUUGUCUUCAUAAGGAAACUGGAAAACAUAAUAUACUAAAAUACAGCAUAUAUCAAGUAAUGAGUGAAGCAGCUUUUACGUGGGCAUAUCGUGAAAGUGUAACUCUCUCAUUUAACCAUUGUGAUGAUGCAGCACAUCGUUGUAGUCCAAUUUUAGCAGCAAUUACUUGCCAACCAAUAGCCUAUGUAAGUAAAGAAUGCAGCGUAAUGUUAGUACAACCAACACAUAAUAAAACCCACAAACCAAAGACAACGCUCAGAUUCACCUGAUAUUGGCUAUCACGAGCAUUGGAUGGUAUGGUUACACAAGGAAAGUCUUCCAAUGACCUAAUGCCAGACUUCAAUAACUGAAUAUUAGGGCACUCUAUAACAGCGAUCACAGGUCCAUGAUGCCUAUGUCUGCCAAAGAAAGUACGCAUAGGGGAAAUAUCAAUACAUUGAAAUACAGCUAAGAAAAGUUCAGGAGAAAAGUUGCAAAUGUUCACCGACCCUCGUCCUAGUGACAUGCAGACAUUGCCAUAUAUUGGCCGAACCUUUUAGGCUAUAGGCUAUUACUGAGGUGAAUAUAUAUAUAUAUAAUAUAUAUAUAUAUAUAUAUAUAUUCAAAUAAUAUAUAAUCAUCAUGUAAGGCCUGCAUAGCACUUGGACAUUUUGGUCUUCGGUACCAACGAUGUUCUGUUGUAAUAACCAAAAACAUACAAGGGAUAGCUAAUAUCGCAUUUCUUCUUUUCUGUGUUUCAUGCAAGAUUAUCAGUAAUAUUUCCAUUUCAAUAGUUAGAGCAUACAAAUCUUUUGUUUUACAGGAACAGGUCUCUUCAAAACUAGUUACGAGCAUGUCUUAUUCGUGGAAGAAUAUAUAACUACUAAAAAGCUUGAUUGCAAAUACCACCUAAAAGUUAGAGAAUUGAGAUUAUUAGAGUAUGAGAGAGACCUGUAUUCAGUUAUCAUCCUCUGCAAGUGUCCUUGAGCAUCUUUGACAUGCCCAACAUAGUCCACCUAGGAGAGAGUGCAAGAACAUGAUAAAAAAUAAUAAAUAUAUUAAUGUGAAAAAAAUGCAUUGGCAAGCAUUUUACCUUGAAUGUAAUGCCUUCAUUUGUUGGAGUUUGCAAGGAUAAUGCUUGGCAAGCUUCACGAAAUUGUCUAUCUAGCAAUUGAGAGGACAAUUCCUUACUCUGGAAAGGACUGACAACCACAACAGCUAUUUGGCUUGAUGCAGGAAAAUAUGCAACAAACGUGGCGCGGCUGUCACAGAUGCUGAAGAAAAUUGAAAACCACAAUGUUUAUCAUGACUUGGAUAGCAACAAUAUUACCUUAACUAGAGCACAUUUGUUCCAUUAACUAGGCCAUAUAACUUAUUUUUCAAUGACUUACCUAUGAUACAAGUAGAAGAAAGUAUAUGAAAGUUCCAUAUAUGGGCACUCAGUUGUUGUCUUCAUAUGCAAUUCACUUAUACUCCAGCCAUCUUGGAAGUUUCUUUUUUUGGCUGAUUUAUCCACUUUACAGACACAGCCAAUCUGAAGGAUGGCAUUAAACUCCGGUGGAAUCUUGGUUUCGUAUAUUCCCUGAGAAGUUUCACAUUCUUAUUAUCAUAAUGUGAAAGAAAAAUCCAGACUAGCUCUAUGAGCAGGCAAAUAAGGUUAUUGCAAUUUCCAUAGGCAUAACAUAACAAAGUUGGAUAAAUUCUAUUAAUCCACCCUUAUCCACCAAAUUAAAUGAGGCUUAGUGUACAAUUGUUGAACCCCCAACCCCACCAAAAUUACGAGAUAAAAAUAAAUAAAUAAAAACAGCUCCACUGGAGCAGGUGCCUGAUAUGAUGUUGUCAUGACUAGAAUAGCAAUUCUCUCCCUCUACUUUCUAGAAAAUGCUAAAGUACAUAAAAAGGAAUGAAUACAAUUUUUACUUCUGCUAUGAGGAUAUCAUUAAAAUUGAGAGUUGGAUGAAAAAACUAAUUGUAAUUGCAACUUUUCAUCCUGAGGUUUUAUGUGUGGUAUUGUGGUCUAAGUAGAUAAUGAAGCCAUACAACAAACUUGAAAAGUGGAUUUCUAUUCAAGUUUCAACCUACAAGAGACUGCAAAUAAAGUGUGCUUUUGUUUGAUAUAGCAGAAAGUUUGUCGUAAUAUGAAAUGGGCCUCGCUAUGGGAGAACUGUAAGUAUCACAUCCAGACAGUUAUUUUGAUGCAAUUGACUCCUUUAACCAUUAAGUGACUAUAUGAUCCUCUGAGAAUUUUGAUUUUUUUUUUUUUUUAUCUUUCUAUAGCAAUAAAUACAGAAGUAGGGAAUCUCUGAUGUUAGUGAAAUGUUAUUAAGUCAAAAGACCUCAGAAGAAGUUUCAAAGUUCAGAGAAAUUGUGCAGGUUAGCAUUAACAUCUUGCACUGAAGUGUCUGGACAAGUACUUCAAGGGAGCAAGCAGCAAAUGACUCGGGACUAGAAAAAAGAUACCUCAACUUCAGGAUCUGCAAGGUGAGCGGCCAAUUUCUUGCUUUCGGUCCUAAAUUGGUCUUCAUCAAUUAUGACCUUAUAAAAGAAAUGCAAUGUUACAAUACAACAUCAUUACUUAAAAGUUGACUUCUGUUAGUAGAACAUCACUCAUGUAAACUAUAGAAGGUGUACCUCAAUUAGGUUGUAGCUUUGGUGUCCGUGGGGAAGAAUCUUGUUUACACGCCUUCCGGGGAAUUCUUCUGUUACAGGCGCCUUAGAGUUGAGGUAGAAUACUCUGGGAACUAAUAUGGGGAUCUUACGCAUUGCUCCUUCUACAACUACCCAAGCAACAAAAUGGCCAUGUUGUCCACUUGGUUCAAGCUGAAUAAUCUGACAAAAAGAAGGAUCGUAUUCAGCUAAUGGAGGGAAAUAGAAAGCAACUGAAAAUUUACAAAACAAAUUAUUCUUAAAAAAUGCAUCACCUGCCAAUAGCAACGGGUGAGCGCUAAGUCAUGCCUCUGGAAAUAUGAAUUCACCCCAACACCUGGAGCCUGUUUGUAAUUGGCAGCGCUACUGGGAACCUCCGCAUUAUUAAUAAGAUUUAACCUGCCAAAGUAGAAUUUAACAAACAAAAUCAACAGUGAAUUAACACUUAGAACUUACUUACAACCCCAUUAUGAAAAUGUUACAGGAAGAAUUCAUAUAAAGCAUUAGUUAUGAUGAAGAAUACCGUUGACGUUUCCUUUUUUCCCGAGUCCCUCUCCACUUUCUCUUCCUUGACUCCAACCAUCCUUGAUAGUCGACAUCUCUAUCGAUAGUCUCUUCAGGAGCCUUUUGCAAUGGAUGAGUUGACUGCUUAUGCCCAGUUUCUCUAUCAUUUUGCUGCGCACUUUCUACAAGAUUACUUGUUUCAACUUGAUGCUGUUCAUUAUGGAUGGCAUAUGAACGAACAAUAGGUUGAGGCCUCACGCGAGGAGUUUUUCCAGAUCUAAAGUCUUCCAUGUCUGUAAUAUUCUGUCCAUCUGUAGAGUGACCAUUAGCUUGAGGAUUACCGCUCAAUCCCACAGCAUCAUCUUUUUCUUUCCGGCUGAAAAUAUCAACCAACUUUCGUUGGCGAAACUUGUCAUCUUUUUCUUUAACUUUCUUGUGCAACCAAUCAGGAUGAACAACCCUUGGGACAGGGUUUGCAACCUGACAAAUAUGAGAUUCCAGCUCAGAAAAGGGAGCGGGUUUGAAAAAGGGAAAUAGAUUACUCAGCAGCAGUAACUAGUAUCACCUUUUGCAUGGCAGCUGGGAUUGUGAUUAUUUUUUGAAUAGCUGAACUAAGCCUUUGCUUGUAGUAUGACCAAUCAAUGAUUGACCGGAUGCCAACAUCUGAUGAGACUUUGCACCAUUUCUUCACAUAAAACUUCAUAAUUUCUGUAGCCCAUUUUUAUACCAGCUAAGCACUUCUUUUGUGUAGAGAUUAAAUUACAAAAACUAACAAGAGAAAACUCUAAAUAUCAAACCUGGUUCAGUCUCAAAAAUUGCAACAGGAACAGCGCGCUCACUUACUGGGGUUCCCUGUUCAAUGUGGCGGCGUGUCAAUAAUCUUUUAAGCAAAUAAUGUUUUAUUCAGUGCAUUCAGACCAAUUCUUGAGUAAAAGCUAUUCUUUACAAUUAAUAAGUAUCUAUCCAAAAGCACAUUAGAAUAUUACAUUGCAUUCAGACCAAUUCCUAAAAUGCUAUUCUUUUUUUCGUCUCAUAGAAGCUAAAUAUAAUGAAGAGAACAAGAAACAGAAAGCUGCAUUUUGUGGUUUUGAAGGCCAUCUCAUAGUAUUAGUAUUACGAAUUUUGUACCUUUGGUUCACACGCAACAAUAUACUGACAGCGCAAUCCUUUAUCUUUAACCAUUGCAUCCCCGAGGAAAUCAGCUAACCGCUUUGCUGUGGUUACUGCACAUGACUUUUGUUGACCAUAGUCUGCUAAGGACUUGCUCAUUGUGCUUGAUUCUGAUAUAUAAUCAAGCAAUUCAAUAUCUGCGACGUCCUCCCCUUGGUUCUGAAAUUAUAAGAUAUUUAGAUGAUGAAUCUCAUGGAAUUGCAGCUGAGUUUUUAGUUAUAUAGGAGAAGAAAUACACAGUUGCUGAUGAAUAAAGUCAAAAUAAAAGCUACACCAUGUUCGAGACAAUGCUUUGCUGUACUUGAAAUAUGUCAAACAUACUCCAGAGUACUUUUCCUAUUCUCAAAGGAAAUGCAGUCUAUACUAUUCAGAACAAGCCAAAACAUCAAAAAAUGAAAGUAAGGUAAACCAUGUUGAUAAUUAGAUUGAGAUAAAACUUUGAUAAAUAACCAUGUUGGAAAUGUAUAUUGCAGUCUUUCAUUCAACAUGUUGAAAGAAGUCAUUAUCAAACUUAGUAACAUACAUCAAGAAGGUCAAGCCAACGAUUUGCAACAGCAGCAACAGCUGAAUAACACUCUUCUAAUGUUCCCCCGUGAAGGAACUUAUCAAAAAGCUCAGCCUACAAAAAGUAAAACAAUUCAGUUAACUCGGAGAAAAUUCAGGAACGGAUGAAAAUUAGCUGCUUUAAAAAUAAAACAGCUUGGGGUUUGGGAGGGGUUAAGAUAAUUAAAAAUAAAGUGACUACAAGGUAUAACAUAUCAUCAUGAUUAAGAUAACGAAAAAUCCUAGGUGCUAGACACGACUAAGGAUAAAUUACCACAAAAGCAUCAACAUGGAUGAUGGGGAAACGGAGAAAAAUAGGCUACUUCUCCAAAUAUCAUAGCAAGGGCCACUGCACUGCUUACGGAUUUACCUGGAAAACUUUGAUGAGCUUCAGCUCACCUCUUCGCUUGAUCUCAAAACCCUUGAGUUCAGCUAGGGUACCAUCAUCAUUGAAAACUGCAUAGCGUUUCUUAAUCAAAAUCCCUUCCUCCUUGGAAGCUGGUAUAAUCAUUGCCUAUAAGCAUAAGUUUACAGAUGUUCUUCAGUAAUAUAAUAAGACAAGUUAACAGAUACAAUCACAGAUAAGAGCACAAAUUCAUGGUUUUCAUGCGUUCACUCGGCAUCACCUUAUAUGGUCCAUCCACCUCAAACUCAAUUGAGCACUCACUAUGCGUUGUAUAUGUCUUACUGAAAGGAUCUUUUAGAUUCUGCAAGAAACAGUAGUUGGUUCUUAUGUCAGUUAUAUGAAUUUUACUUCUCCUGCCCAACGUUAAUGACAAACCAUUAGGAAAUUACAAAGUUAUAACAGAACUUACGGAAAUACAAAGUGAAGGUUUAUUUACUAACCUGGUAUUGAUCAUUGGUGUUGUUUCUAGCCACAUCCACAUUUAGCAUGACACAGGGAUAUGAAAUUGUCAGCUUCUUCUUUGAGUCUCUGAUUAUAUGUUCCAAAAAUAUGGUCAGCAUCUCUUGGAACCACAUUUGUGCAUGAGAAAAUAAUUUGACAAAAGAUCCACACCAUAAGCAAGUAACUACUCAAACAUGAUGUUGCAACUUCAAUUCAUCCACAUCUACUCAAAAAUUAAAUGAUUUUGAGAGGUGAAUUUAUAAAAGCAGUCAAACAUUUCUACAACUAAACAUACUUUGUCUUAAAUGUGAAGUUCUCUGGGAAUGAUCCUGGUAAACAACACCAAAUACCAUCAGUGUCUAACUCAAGAGGCCUCCCAAUUCUUUCAACCAGUAAGCGUGCAUUCUGAAUUAUUUUAGCUCCAGUAUACGUAACAACCCCAGCCAUUUCCAUGGAAUACCAUCUUGCACCCCUAGGAAAUUUAGAGUUUCACCAUGUAAGAGCACAGAAGAUUUAUAUGAAAGACAGGAAUCCAAUAAAAUGGCAGUCUAGCAACAUACUUGCGCAUAACAUAUCCAUAGAAGGAGUUGAGAAUGCACUUAUGGGCAAGUUGCAAUGAAUCAUAAAGCACAACCAUGUCCUGAAAAAUUAAUGGCAUCAGAGUUAGUCUUACUUCCACAACAACUUUACAUUAUUGCAAACAGGACCAAGAGAGAUAGAUACUUGUGCUUCCUGGAUUUUGAUAGAAUUCCCACUGGCUUUUGCUUCGGACAACUUUCCCUUCCAAACCUUAUUAAGCCCUUUGUAUUCAUACCUUCUAUCUCGAAAGCUUAACCAAAAAACAAAAAUAAAAGAGUACAAUCUUGAGUAUGGCAACUUGGCUUGAAAUUUCCAUCAUAAGGUUAAUAAGGAUGUGAAAGCUCCUCAAAGAGUACGUGUGAAAUAGUGGAUUGAAACUUUCAAAAAGAAUUUUGACAGAAUAUUUUAGACACCUACCUGCGGACAGUGUCAACAUAGAAUGGGUUUUCACGCAUGCAGAUCCCUGCUUCUCGAAGUUCAGUAAUAGGUUUAUCCAGCACCCUUUUAUAUGCCUAAAAGAUGAAGAAAAACUAUCUCUAAAAUCUGUUUACAAGCACUUGCCGAAUAAAGGGAUGUGGGCAAGGAUAAAGACAUACCUUUUGGCAGUAUUUUUUUAGUCUAUCCUUUAGUCUCAAUUGUUGUUCUGCUUUAGGCAGGUCAAGGAAAGAGUUGGAUAAUUUUCCAUUCAUGCCAUCAACAAACUCAGACUCAAUUUGCCUCUUUAUAUGAUAAUAAUCACUGGUAUCAAUAUAAUGCAAACAAGUUAAUUAAAAAAUUAAUGAUGACAGUCUUUUACUUGAUUCACUAAAUAAUAGAGGAAUACUAAUCAAACCUUCUCUUUGCUGUGUAUGUCUCUCCACGCCAAACCCAUUCAAGCGUCCUAAGGCAAUUUUUCCCAGGACGAUUAAAAUCGCAUGCAGUGCAUAUUUCAUCCGUAACAAUUGAAGGUGGCUGCAAUUUGAGAGAGGAGAAACAUAAGUAGAACAGCAUGUUAAGUCGAAUGCCAUCUUGAUUAUGAUAAUAUGGUCAUAUUAUGGCUUACAAAGUAGAUAUCAACCUAAAUGAACUUAGAAAGCAACAUUUGUUAAUUAUUGUCGCAUGAAUCCAUCAUACAGAAACUUUCCCAUGGCUCUUGAGCAUAGCACCCACACAAUAAAUUAGAGAUCGUGUAAUAUAUUGUGAUAAAAUAUUAAAUACUGCAUUUACCAUACAGAAGCUUCAAAACAUGGAAGCUUCAGAGAGGGCUAAUUGCGCACAUAAGAAAUAACAUAAGAAAAACAUUUAUAACAAAAAGAAUAUGCUUUGUUUGAAUUCCAUGAUUCAUAUGAUAGACUUAGGAAACACGGCAGCUUGUCUCCAUUUCAUAGCUAAUUGGUUAUUAGAUCAUUUUCCCAGAAUAGGAUGGAACAUUACUAACCUAGUUGGUCAUGGAUCAUCUUCAGAUGAUAGGAUCAAAUGUAGUUUGAUCCGUGCAUCUAUGUUUUCUCCUUUGCGUAUAAUACUAAAUUGCACAACGAAGUAAAGUUCAUAAUGAGAGAUGUGCUAGAUGGAACCAUUUUUUUCAUUACCUGAAGCCUGUUUGUCAAAAUGAUGUUUGGAUACAUAGCAGCAACAUCAAGAUGAUAUAUGAGCGGAAAUUCUUCACAUAUUGGGUCAUCUCGCAGUUUCACCAGCUGCACAUUGAAGGACAGAAGCAGACAAAACUUUGCAGGUCACAUGGCAGUGUAAUAGGCUAUGCAACUUGGUAAAAACUUGAAGAUGAUAAUAGCAAAAAAGAGAUUUCAGAAGAUUUGAACAAACACAUAAUUGUCAUACACAUUAAUACACGCAUUUUCCUACCCACACAGACACAAUAUUUGUAUUAAGUUUUACAUACACAACCAUCUCAAUUUGCACAAUUUUAAUAUUUUCUACGACAAGAUCAUGCACAACUCCCAAUAUCUAGGUAUGUCUGUAGCACAUGGGGAAGCAUCUAACUUUUUAUGAUGAAAAUCGAUAUAAGGUAAUUCCAAACUAUAUAGAGGCUUUUGGACUUCCCCCUUCAAAACCUUUUUUUUCCGUUCUUUUUUUAAGACCAAAUAUACUGUGCACAUAAGGGAAGAUGGAAUACUCUACCUGCGGUGGGCUCUAGAUAGUGACUACAAAGAUUGACUAGUUCAGAUGGUGAUAGCAAAAAAGGGAGAAAAAAGGAAUAGUUCAGAUGAUAAAAGACUUAAAAUAACAAUAGCUCAGAUGACAAACUUCUCCUCUUCGAUAAUAUUAAAUAUAAGGAUGAAGCAAAAUAAACCAGUCUUACUGCUUUACAGAAUGCUUCACAUAGACAAGGACACAUUACCUUUUCCCAAAUGGCAUUCUUAACUUCGUCAUAAUUUGAAACUGAUUCCAGAUCCAUCUUUCCCUCCACUAUGAUAGCAUAUUGCAGGUCCCGGUCUAGAUUUUCUAGUAAUUGCUGUAAGGAUAAUUUAUUCCUACUUCAGUAACAUUUAUAAGGAAAAAUUCUUGCAGGUUACAAGCCAUUGCAGACUCGAAAAGUGAGCACAAAUCAUCCAACAACUAUAAUCCACCUCCUAGUAUGUUUUCUUUUGGCAUCAUAUGUAUAUAAUAUAUCACAACUUUCUAAAUAGACAUAGCAGUCAGCAGCCAAACUAGACGAUUCAGUAACUUUAAUAUUCAAUCAAUCAGUUAUAGAAUAUUUUGAAAACAAUCAACAUUUGUAAAAGUGUAUGCUGAGGCAUUUCCUUAGUCAAGAAAUGAGAUAUAAUAAUGUUCAGAAUUCCAAAGAAUGACUGUAUUGCCUUUCACGAUAUGCAUCAGAUAAAAGAAUUGCACUGUUUCACUUAAGAUUGCUCCAUCUUUUGCAGACACCCUUCUGAUAAAGGGGUAUUGUAACAAUGAACACAAAUAUUUAUAUCUGAGAGGAGCUGAGAUAUAUGAUCACCUCAUAAGCAGCUGGAUCGAGUUUGAAACUUGUUGGAAGAUCAGAUCUAAAAACUCCACUUUCCAGGCAUUCCACAUGUCCCCCAAUGUAUGUCUCACUCUCAAGGAGCUGAUUGUGGUAAAAUUUCUCCGGAUCAGAUUGGUGUUUAUUAGGGCAGAUAACAUUAGCUUUGUAUGCCUGCAAGAUUAAAAAGAAAAAAAAAACAAAGGUAUCACCGCAUAGUUUAAAAGAGGUCAAGGGAGCUAAACGGCUUAUCUGAUGUUUCCUGUUUUAUCUGAUACUCAUUGGGUUGGAAAAGAUUUUAGAAGAUGGAGAAGCUAGAAGCACAAAAGACAAAUAAUUCAAAGCAGAAAUCCAGUCAAUGAAGAACAAAGCUUGUGAAACUGAAAGCAUCAAGGACCCACAGUUCCAACAUAAAGCAUAAUGUAUAGGGCUUCAAUGAUUCACCUGGACCAUAAGAAGCAUUUCACAGAGAGUCCCACUUCCUUUUCGUAGAACUUCAUCUGGUGGCAUCGGAAUUAUGGUUGCUAAGGAGAAAAUAAAGGGGUGUACAUAUGUCAUAUACAGGUAGUAAGUUGCAACAGCAUCAGAAACAGAAUAUGAUGCCAUCAUCUGCAAAGUUACAACAAUGUAAACAAAGAAGAGGAUUAGUGGAGUAUCCCACACGAAACACAGUUAGUUUGUCCUAAUACUGAUUACUGAUUAGGCACAUUCCUAUGCAGGAUUCUGAUCUUAUUGUUUUCUGGAUGGACGAAUAAGGGAUUCUUGAUUCUUAAAUGCCUCCAGUUAUCUUGGGGGGAGGGGGGGGGGUAAAAUAUACCAAAUACCAAUCGGCAGAAACAAUGCCGGUGCCAGUUCCUCUAAGAAAUUGCAGAACAGUCAAUAAUACCUAGAUAGAUUGAGACGUACUGGAAAUUCUUAGCUCGUGAUUUAACUGAUCAAGAACACAAGGAUGGGUUUACCUAGGAACGGUAGCACAAAGCUGAAAGCUAAAAACUUAAGUAGUAUAACUCCAAAUCCAUGAGAUUGUAGUACAAUCCUUAAGUCCCUGAGAUUUGUUUGACUGCCCAAUCAAAAAAAAAAAAAACAAGGUAGACCAAGACAAGCUUACAUAGCUUGUCUGAACAUUGUCGAGAAAAUUAAACCAGCCUUAUAAUAGAGAAAAAAUAUUAAGAAAAGUAUGCUAAGCAGUUCAGUGGUGGCUGUUGUUGACUAGAAAUAGUGUACUGUCUUAUCUUUUUAGUCCAGUUCCGUAACAGUUCAAUAUUAAAGAACAGCACUGGAAACAGAUGGGAUCCUUGUUGAAUUUUAACUUUGAAGUCAACCACAUAGAUUCAAGGAAUCACUGUCAAUUUAGUAGUUCACCUUUAACCCAAAGAGAAUCUUUAUGAAAGGAAAUCACCAUCAAGCUACUCAAGAGCUCUAUCUGAUCACUUAAUCGAUUGUAUGAUACUACAGCUUCACCUUUGACAAUUUUACGAAUAAAAUAAAAAUCAAAACAGUUAUGAACGUCAGAACGUGAAACCAGCUUCAGUCUGCAACUGAUACAGUUGCAUGCACAUGCAUUGUGUCUACUUGUGUUGUCUAGAAUCAGCCCCCAGAAUAGAACAAGAAAGUUCCACCAAAUUUACCACCUACCUCUGAACCUAGUAAUUCUCCUCUAUUUACAGAUAAGUCUUAGUCAUUAUUGAUAAUAUUUUGAAAAACUAUAUUGCUAAAGCUGAAAAACAAGCUCUAUAACAACAUUGAUCUUCUCCAAUCAAUAUUACAUAAUAGUGUCAGUAUAUAAUGUCAACUAGAACAUACCUGCGGCCUUUCUUUUGCAAAGCGAACCAUAUCCUCAGGAUUGACUUCUAAAGGAUCGUAGCCCAAUUUGGCUUUUGUCACAGCCUGAAAUGGUAAAGAGUUAAGAUUGUUAUCUGGACAUAUUAUGGAAAGAAGAAUAAAUCACAUGAGUUACAUGAUUCAAAUUCAGAAGUCACAUGAGUGUGUCGUUUCAACACGAUAAACGCGAGAUGAAAUCCCAGAAACAAUGAACAAGUGUCAUUUUAAUUAUAUGUAGGUGACUGUACAGAAUCAGAAAACUCGUAUUUUUAGCUAUAUCAUGAUCAGAAAAAUCCUCUGGCUGAUGCCAUUAUGAUAUAAAACGGUAUGUAUUGGAAAAUGGAAUAAAACAAAAUUUCAGUAAUUGAAAACUGGAAAGAGAAGGAUGUCUGCAAGGCAGGUAAAAUUGUAGAAUGUUGAUGAAAAUAAAAAUAUAAAUCCAUUAGAUGGAAAACCAUAUGCAAUUAGGAAAUAAAAGGCAAGAGGGGAGAAUCUAAAACCAGAAGUUGAAUAAGGGAGUUGCACCUUUAAGCCUUGGCUGCCUUGAGGGAGAUAACUAUCACGUUUAACCCAAGCAAAACAAUCCAGGUGGCAAGCAAAUUUGGCACGACAUUCACCUUGAAGUUUGUCACAUCGAAAUCCAAGUUCCUGCGGUUCAUAAGUUACAAAAGAGCAGAGAAACAAGACUCUAAUAGCUUGGAUUUUUAGUACGGGAAAAUGAACUUGCAAAUAAAUGGAUGCAAAAGCUAUCAGGACUAUGCCAUCAAUCCGCUAAAACAACAGAUACCAGUACUUGAAAUUUAUAGAACAUUAAAUAAGUGAUUUCUAGUUGUUAAUGAGUACCAGUUAAGGCUUUAGAGAGAACGUGCAACUGAAUGCAAACACAAUAGUCAGUGAUUUCUAAUUUAAGCAUCUCCACAAUCAUGCAAGUAAGAGGACAGAAUGCAAUAUUCAUUGACCAUGCAACAUAAAUAUAGAGCUUCAGAGCAUUACAAAUUUCUGCAUCCUAUAUUAAUCACAUUUGUCAAUGGAAAAGUUUAAUAGGCAGAAAAUUCUGAAAAAAACUUAAGAAGUUUCAUGUGGCUAGCAGUGAUAAGCUACAUACUUCAUUCAUGUUGUAACCAUGAUGGGCUGCUCUGGUUUCCAGGAAUGGCCAAUCAAAAAAGUCUCCGUUGUAUGUCACGUAUAUACCAGGCUUUACAUCUUGCAUAUGGGCAAACCACAGGCUAAGAAGUCCUUUCUGUGAUAAUUCCCAGAGUCAUAGAUAAUUAAAAGAUAUAUAUGUUUUAAAUGUAUAAUAGAAACAUCAAAAGCCAUUACUACCUCAUCUUUAACAUUUUUCACUUUGAAACAACCUUCAAACUCUGGUUUAGGAGUGUACUCCAAAUCCUCUAUAUCCUCCCCAACACACUGCAAUAUUUUGCCAAUGCAACUAAUUGUCAGUUAUAGCACAAUCACAAAAAUUAAUCAGCUAACAAGCUAACUUGUGUAAAACACUUUAUAUUUUCACAAACUAAAGCGUUGCACUUGGACUAGGGUACGAUUGAAAUAAGGUCAUAGAUCUAGCACAGCAAGUCUGAUGGUACUGCUAAAAAAAAAAGAGAGAUUCCAGAAUUCAGACUUUAUCUAAUUUUCGUAACAGAAACAAUAACUAUGAUCAAACUUCUAGUAAAAACUCAAGAUUACAAUCUCAGUUUAUUUGAAUUUCUUGCAAACUACUAUUCAUCUCUUACAGAAGUUAGGUACUUUUAUAUGAAAUACUGGAGUGUUUUAAAAUACUUUUCAAAAUCUUUUUCAAAUUUCAAUUAUAAGAUUUUAGGAUCCACAUUUUCCUCGAUCACCCUCCCUUUAGAGAAAAAGGGGAGAGGGGGAAAGAGAACAACUCUUAUCUUCAACCUAAGAUAAGCCAUGAAAAACAUGGAUGUGAAAUAUAUUUGGUCUGCUCAUAUACCUCUCUAUUAAUGAUGAGGUACCCUUGGCCAUCAAUCAUGUAUGAAAUCAUCAUGAUUGAAUCAUAUUCAGCAUCUGGAAAUUUUAAAGGCAGCUUUGUAGUCUCAAUAUCAAAAGCACAGACAUGAACUUCUGCACGUUGCAACAGAUCUGUUCUCCUUUCUACUAAAAUCCCAGCACUGGACACACUUACAUCAUACCACUGUCCACACCUUAUAUCUGAAUCAUGUGAACUCAAGAAUGCAUUAGACGUGACAUAUUUGUAAAUUGGUUAUUCACUCGGAUAAUAAGAUAGAAAAUCCACAAAUAUGUAUAUAGAAUUACCUUUGUCAAUUGCGAAGCGAACAUGAUAAGGUACAUCGAAUUCACGAAGAUCAUUGAUACAAUCUAUGAAAUCUUGGAGCCGUUGUUUGCUGCUCAAUCAAAACAUCUUCAGAUCAGACAGUGCUCAUUGUUAUGACUUUAUCAAAAGAAGACAGGCAUUACCUUUUCCCUGCCAAUAUGGACUCAUAUGCAUCCUCGGCAUCCAACUUUGCUUUGUUUCUUUCAACAACAUGAACAAGAUCUUUCUUUACUUGCAUCAAUUGUUGAACAGUAUCAAAAGAUAUCUUUAAAUAGCACUUGUGCAGACCAGACAGGUGAUUUUUCUGUGACAAUUGGAGUGAUUCAGAACAUAGUAUUUUCAGUAUACAUUAUGGUACAUACUCAAUCUUGGGUACAUAAAAAAAAGGUUACGUAAUAACAGGAUAGGAAAACAAACAUGUUUAACUUAAUGAAGAUAAGGUUGCAGAACAGGUAAGAAUAUUGAGCUCCAAACAAAUGGGAGAAUAAUAACAAGCAAUGUUUGUAUAUCUAACAUAACGAGUUAAGAUGAGGAAAUUAACAUCUGUGAAAAUAUAAUAAAGGUCAUAUUUUACUUACAAGAUCAAGAUCUUCUUUCUCUACAAUUUCAAUAUCUGCAAUUUGGCCCUCAUAACGCCUUCUCAAAUACGCCUCAACAUCGGUUUCCAUUUUAUCCUACGACAACAUUGUUGUAAACCCUAUCAUUUGAUAGUCAAGGAUAGGAAAGUCGCUCUUUAGAGCAAUCUUAUUUACAGCAUUUGAAUACCUUGGUGGCAGCAUAAAAAUAAGGCCGAAACUUAUACUUCGCCUUAAACAUUGAACCAUCCUACACGCAAAACAUUCAAUAGACAUAAAUAAGAAACAACCAAAUUUUACUCCAAACAAAUUACUUCAGAAUUCCUCUUGAAAAAAUUGAAAGCUUUACCUGGCAAACAAAAUACAAAUCGACGCAACUGUACACCUUACUAGUUUCCCGGUCCUCCCAAGACGACUAUAUUGAGAAACCACAACAAAUCUCAAAAGAUGAAUCCAAAAUUAACCAAAAAUGAGGAGAAAUUGGGUGAAUUGAGAAUGCUCACAGAGGCCAAAGUAAGUAACCAGCCCAGGCGCUUAUCGCCUUCAGUAAAGAGAUCGAAUCCGAGCUUGGAUUCAAGCUGCUCCUCUGCAUUUAGAAUCAGCUGCUGCUUCUUUGAAAUACGAGAUUCCCACCGAUCUUUCCUCCUGUUGUCGCUGCCAUUCAUCAUCUUUACAGGAAACUCGUAUAUCUCAAAAUGAAAAUUAAUCAAGUGAAAUAAAAGUGUGAAAAAUAAAAUGUUAGAACUACGAAGUAGAAUAUGGAGAUGGAUUAGUAGAAAGAGAAAGUUGAAAGCAGGACAAGAGAGUGAAGAGAGGGAGAGAGAAGCGGGGAGACUGUGAGGGCAGAGGAUCUGUUUCCCGCGCUCGAGGCUUGGGGUAUCUGAAUUGACGGUAUUACCCCUAUUCGAUCUGGGUAACUGUCUUAACUGAUAAGCCCGAAUCGGGUUUUAGGCCCCAUUGCAAAUAGAAAUGAAUUUUCACAAUUAAAAUGAGUAAAAAUAUAUAAUCACAAAUAUUAAUGAUUCAUUUUUUUUUAAGGGUGAUUUUAUUCAUAGCCCUCAUUUUACUCUUUAUAACCACUAUCCAAAAUAAUAAUUUAAAAUUUAACUUGUUUUUACUAGAUAUUUAAAUAUAGGGGGUAUAAAGAGUAAAAUCGAGGCUACGAAAAAAACAAAAAAAAAAUUAGGUUAGAUGCAUAUAUACAUAGAUAGGUAGCCAUUAAAAAAAAUUGAUAUUGGACUGUGGAUGUAGCCCAUUCGAGCUAGCACUCAACAAGUAUCGGUAGUGGGCCUUUACACUGGGCCUUCUAUAAGUAUCUUUAUUGGGCCCUCUAGAAUGGAUUUUAUUUGGGAAAACAUAACUUCUUGAAAAUAAUAGGACUAUGCUUGUGUUCUUCUUUUUAAAAUUUUGGGGCAUGUGAAUAAACCUAUCAUUUUAAUUUGGAGCCACCGGGCAGAAUAGUAUAUUUACAAAAAAAAUGAUAAUUUUUUUUGGGGGGCGGAGCUAUGGAGAGUAAAAAUGAGGCUAUGGAUAGAAUUACCCAUUUUCAUAUAAAUUGACUGUUCAAUUAUCAAACAUUAUGAAAGCAUGUAAUUAAUUUUUAUUUGGCAAGCUAAUUUUUAUUUAAUCCUUACAUAUAUUACUAACAAUAAUUACGGGAUUAACUCAAUGCAAAAAUAUGUAAGAGUGUGGUGUGGCGUUAGUUUAUUUAUAAUGUUUCAUGAUUGUGAGCUCUAUUAGUCCAAUAAUAUUAUUAAUUAAUAUCCUUUAGCCCAAUGAAACUCUUAUGCCUACAUAUUAAAGAAAUGCCACUCCAUAUUCUAUGCCAACGAGCCUAAAUAAGUAUGAUUUAGAUUAAAUGAAUAUAUUUGCCCAAAUAAUAAUAUCAUUCAAUUAAUUGUAUGAAAAUAAUAUUACAAAUUCUCCAAGGAGAGAAGAGAGAGAGAGAGUAGAUACAUAAUUACACAACUAGCAAUUCAAGACAUAUUUGGCUAUUCCUAGAAAAUGAGUGUUCAAAAGGUAGUCAUCCCACAUAAUGCAUUUGGGAUCAAAAUUAAAUAAUUCCAUGUCGAUGUUGCUUCCUCUCAUUCUCAUUCGUAAAUUCUCAGUGUUACUGUCAUCAAAGCUGCCAAUAAAACAUAAACAUAAGAUUAACAAAAAAUAAAAUAAAAAUAAAAAAUUAGAGAAUUGAAUUUCUGAAAAAUACAUACAUUGCUUGUGAAAACAAGUAAGGCUUGUAAAGGUCAGCUAGUCGCAUGGCAUGAUUGAUUCUUCUUUUUGCAUUGGUGUAUGAACUUUCAAAAAGAUUGCAACAUACAAUGUUUGCCAUUCUAAGCAUCUGAAAAACAACCCACAUAUUAUUACUCCAUAAUAAUUAAUGUGUGUGUGUUUGUGUGUUGUAAUUUAAUUUAUGUAUUGUACGAUGAAUAUUAUCCUAUACAUACAUACAUAUAUAUAAGAAUUGAGUAGGAGGGUUUUUUAGUACAUUAAUUUAAAUUGAUUUGGAAGUUACAAUAAAAAAAAUUCCGGACUUGCAAAAGUAGGACACUAAUUAAUAAUACUAAUGCACCUGUAAGAUAAUUCUCGCAAGCCCGAUAUUUUAAUUUUCUGCCUAUUUUUAGUUUCAAGUAAACCCGGAAAUCUUAAAAUGGGCCGAGAAUUGUCAUGCAGAUGCAUUACUUAUUAAUUAGUAAUAUCCUAUUUCUACAAGCCUGGACAUUUUUAUCCCAAUUUCCAAAUCAGUCUAAUUGUUAUAGUCCUGAAAAACCCUCUGACUCUACAAGAAUUAAAGAAGUAGUGGAACAAUCGAUUUCUUUUCUUCUUUCUUGAUUUUUAAUUGUUGAUCAAAUAUUCGGUGAUAGAGAAUGCGAAAAAGUGCAGUCUAAUUUAAUAAAGGUUUGAUAGGAAAUAUAGUAAAUAAAACUAACCUGGACAAAUGGCAAAUAGUGGAAAGAAAUAUAGUUGUGGAAGCUGGCCAUUGUAUUCAAAAUAACUGGAACACCAACUUUGGUAGGUUUUCCGCAGCUAUCAAUCAAUGGAUUAUUAAUUAAAUAACGAUGCAUUAACCACUUAAGCUCAUCGUAUUUCACUGGAUUACGCCUCGAUGAACCUAUUUGGUACACACUUAUGCUCCCUUUUCCACUAAUUGAAUUUGCUAUUGCUGCAAUCAUGCAAUUUACCACCAUGUCACCUGGUACCUGCAGUAAUUAAUUUCGCAUAGGCUUAAUUUAAUUUAUCCCUUAUGUUUUUAAGGACAGUAACUCAGACUGAUUUAAAUUAUGACAAAAAAAUUCGAGUUUAUAAAAGUAGGACACUGAUUAAUAAGUAAUUAAUUAUACGCCCGCAUGACAAUUAUCGACCCAUUUUAAAAGUUUCGGACUUACUGGCACGGACCGAGCACGUGACAGUGCCCGGAACUCUUAAAUUACUGUUCAGCAGAUGCAUUACUUGUUAAAUAGUGUCACACUUUUACAAGCUCGAAGAUUUUUGUCUUAAUUUCCGAAUCAGUCUAAGUUAUUGUUCUAAAAAACAUCUAACUCUUAUACUAGAUUAAUUAAUUAAUAUAUGGUGAAGUGUAUGAUCUUACCAAGUCAAUUACAGAUUCUGGAUCACCUACGAAGAAUUUGAUCUUCGCUUUACCAUAAGCAACAAAGAUGCUGUCCAAAGUUCUGUCGUCACAUAUAUCGGCCACCCACACAAAAAAUAUAAUAAAAUACAUUAGUCAGAUCAGUUAGGAGUGAAUAAUUUUUGUAAUAAAGACUAGUACUAUAGUAGAGAAAAUUAUAUUUAAUUUCAAGAGGAUUUAAUUUCCAUCUAAAAGUGAUGAGAAAUUAAUUAUGAAAAAAUAAGUAUUAUACCUUAGACCUUCGAUCCAACCAGGAAAUGGAUCUUUGAAGGUGCUUGUAAUAAUAGUUGGACGAAUUAUAACGACAUUGCAGUUUUGGUUGAAUUUCUCCAGCAGCAUUUCCCCUAUUGCCUUUGUAAAUACGUAUGUAUUUGGCCAUCCAUGCAACAUUGCUCUGCUCAUACAAUUCAAUUUUUUUUUUUAAUGUACACUAAUUUAUAUCACUCCAAAAAAAUUAAAAUAGUCAAAAUUUGAUAGAAACACUAGUUUUCGUUGUUUAUUACUCCCUCCGUCCAUGAAAGAACUUCAUAUCUUUCCUUUUUGGGACGUCCACAAAAGAACUUACUACCUAUUUUUGGACUAUAUACCACCACUUAUAAUCCUCUUACUUUUCACUUUUCACAACUCUCAAUAUUAAUUAUAACAUAUUUUCACUACUUCCAAUACACUCAAUUACCUUUUAUCCACCCUCAAUACACUCAAUAAUAUUUUUUCUUAAAACUCGUGUCACUCCCUCCUAGGAAGUUAUUUCAUGGACGGGGGGAGUAAUUCGCAAGAUUAGCAAAAAUUAAAAUAUUAUGCAAGAUUAGCAAAAAUAAAUGAAAUAAACCUUUCAAUGCCGAAGUCCUUCAUAGCUCGAGUGAUUUCUUUUUCAGACAGCUUUUGCGAUUGGAGCAAUCUUAAUCUUUCUUGAAUUACACUCUUUUCUGCAUUGAUGUCAAAAUAUGGUAUUUUGGCGCCAGGAAGUGUUUCACCCAUGCAAAUAGCCUUUUCGGGCAUCAAUCCCAACUUAGUGCCAUGCACAUAAGCUACAUAUACAUUAAACAAAAAUUAAUUAAAUUGGCAAUUAAGAGAGUACUCAUCAAAUAAUAAUUAUAUUACCACAAAGAUUAAAGGGUAAAAAACAUUUUUAAAAACCUUAAACUAUACAUUAGGUUUGUACCAAAAUUAAAUGUCCUGCAUCCCUUUUUCGGUCCCCGAAAUCAUGAUGUGCCUCGUCGGAUGCCACGGUGUAAUUUACAGGGACCGAAAAAUGGAUGUACGCAGACAUUUUUUAUACAAAUCUAGUACUUUUGGAGUUUUUAAAAAUACUUUUUAUAGUUUAAAAUAUUUUUAAUAAAGCGAGUAUAAUUUAGAGUUUUAAGAUUUAAUAUGAUAUUUACCUCGAACGAAAAAUAUUAAGCAAUUUAUAUUUUGGGCGAAUGGAACUAACCCGUGGAGACGUGAAGAAGCAUCUCUAGUUUGGAACACUUUGUGCCAAAGUCUUGAACGUGCAUGGCUCCCAACGCAUUGAUUCCAAAUGCUAUAUCAUACCUAUAUUUUAAAAUACCAAAAUAAACAAAUCAUGUAUAAUGUGUAUAACUGUAUGUUUAAUUGAAGUCAACACACGACAAUUUAUUACUAUAUAGUAUAUGUCUCAUUUAUCGCAGUUAGCUCAACUAUAAAAAAAAGUAAAUUAAAAAAUUCUCGUACUAUCAAAUUUGAUUUGAACUACUAUAUAUGCUAUUAAUUAAUAAUAUAUAUAUACUACCUCUCGUCAAAUUUGGUAGUUGCGGCUGAGUUGACGAUAACAUCAAUUUCUUGCCACAUUUGUUGUCGCAGCUGUGCAUCAACUAUACCUAAAUUUUCAUAGCCAACAUCCCCAGAUAUUGGAACAACUUUUGAGGAUAUUAUAGAGUCGAAAUCUUCCCCACAUUCUUCUCUUAGCACUCGAAAUAACUCCGUGCCCACAACCUAUAUAUACACAAAUAAAUAAAUAAAUAAAUUUAUAUAUGUUUAGAUAAUAGAAAUUAAAUUAAUCGAUCUAUUUCUUCGUCAAAUAUUCUAGAGAGAAAUUAAUUAAUGGCAACUGGCAUGUUUGACCUAUUACGACAACUCUAACAUGAUGUUUUGGAAACUAAGAAAAUGCUCAACGAAGCCUAAUUGGGAAAUCGAAAACCCUAUUUUCUUAAUGCAUAAAACAACACCUGACUACUAAACAAAAGAAUCCUAUAUAUAUACUAACAACUUUAGAAGUCCAACUAAACUAAUCAAACUUAAACAACGAAUAAUAAAGCCUAAUCUAUAUUAAUACAAAAAGUGUAUUGGGCAUAAAACAUAGAUUACAUAUUAUAUCCCUAUUACAUAUUUACAUGGAGCAUUUAAUUUUAAGGGUAAUUAUGUAUAUAUAUUAUAUAAUAUUUGGAAGAAUAUAUUAAUUCAUUAUUUAUUAAAAUACUACAAAAAUAUAUAUUAAUUAAUUACAUUACAUUACCAAAUCUUUUUGAUACUAUAUAUUAGUUUAUAGAGUUUAUUAAUUUGUUGAGUAUUAUUUUAAAGAGGUUUUCCUAUAUUUAUAGAAUUAAAUAUAUAAAAUUGCUAAUUAAAAAAAUUAAAUAUAAUAAAUAUCAUAUCUAUAUUUUUUGCUUUUAUCAAAUAAAAUGUAUACUAUAAUCACACAAAAAAGAUAUAAAAAAUAGAAUAAUACAUAAACGAACGUGACACCAAAAAAAAAGUGAAAUAAAUUUAUUUGCAUAUAUGCAAGAGUACAUUUUAUAGUGGGCGUUUCCUUGCUUAAAUUUAACUGCAUAGAUCGACAUUUCACAUUACAAUGUAACUAAUGCAAUUAAAUGAAUGAUAUAAUUAUAUUUAUUAAUAAUAAAUAUAAUUAAAGCAAAGUUUUAUUGGUUUCGUACCUCUUCUUCUAAACGCUGCUGGACAGAUACUUUAGGGCUCGCUCUCAUUAGAAGAAAUAAUUUCUUCACAUUGGGUUGCAAUCGAAGUAUCUUCUCUAGAAAUACUGAAUCAAAUCACCAACCAAAAAAAAAAUUAGAACCAAGCAGCAUUAUCGGAAAUAAUAAUAAUAAUAAUAAUAAUAAUAAUAAUAAUAAUAAUAAUAAUAAUAAUAAUAAUAAUAAUAAUAAUAAUAAUAAUAAUAAUAAUAAUAAUAAUAAUAAAAUAAUAAUAAUAAUAAUAAUAAUAAUAAUAAUAAUAAUAAUAAUAAUAAUAAUAAUAAUAAUAAUAAUAAUAAUAACAACAACAAUAAUAACAAUAAUAAUAAUAAUAACAAUAAUAAUAAUAAUAAUAAUAAUAAUAAUAAUAAUAAUAAUAAUAAUAAUAAUAAUAAUAAUAAUAAUAAUAAUAAUAAUAAUUAGUUUAGGGGAGACUAAUUACAUAAGUAAUGGUGGAAUAAAGUGGCCCAAUAGAUAAAAGUGUAGUAAAUUUAAAAGCAAGGGAGGGUAUAAUUGUCCAAAAAGCAGAGUAGGAGUUUAUUUCGUGGACAAAUAUUUAAGGGCAAGUAGGAGUUUAUUUCGUGGACGGAGGGAGUAUAAUAAAUUAUUUCUUUAAUUAAUUUGAAUAUAUAUUGCAUCAUUGAUAUAUAUCGGUCUAUGUUAGUGAUGUGAUAUCAUACCGUGUUCUGGUAUAUCGUAAUUUUUGGUACAUAUCUUGUUUCGAUAACAUCGUAUCAAAAUUGAUAUUUAAUAAAUAUAAGUAUAUUAAGUAUUGAUUAAUAUUAUAAAAUGAUGUAUAUAAUUUAUAUUAAUAUCAUUAUUAGUAUAUAAAAGAAAGAGUCUCAUUUUGAGAUGGCCAUUUUGAACAGUAAAACACAAUAUUUGGCCAUCCAUCUAAAAAAACAUAAAUAUUGGCCAUAUUUUAUGUUUUAAGACCGUUUUGCCUUGAUUAGGGCGGAUCGGAUUUAGGUUUGCGCGCGGGUUAGGUACAUUUUCCACUAUUAGUGUCAAAAGUACUAACAGGAAAAAUUUUUUUAAGUAAAUUGGUAAUUUUGGCACAAAUGAGAAUAUUAGUGCCAAAAAUACCAACAUCAAUUAAAAAAAACGAGUAAAUUGAUACUUUUGGCACAAAUGGUAAUAUUAGUACCAAAGUAUCAUUUGAUGAUUAAACCCUAAAUGAGGAAUCUAAACCAUAAAUGGAGACUGUAAACCCUAUGUUAAUCUAAACCCUGAAGAAAUCUAAAUCUACGCGGAAGUGUUCAAAAUGGCCAUAUAACUGACUAAUCUAUAUAAGACAAGAUAAUGUAUUAACACAAAGUUUACCAAUUUACUUGAUUUUUUUUCCUGUUGGUACUUGUGGCACUAAUAGUGCCAAGUUUACCAAUUUACUUGAUUUUUUAUUUUUAUUUUUAUGUUGGUACUUUUGGCACUAAUAAUCCAAGUGUACCUAACCCUCGAGCAAACUUAAAUCUGGUCCGCCCUAAUUAAGGGCAAAACAGUUCUAAAUGUAAAAAUUGAUCAGAUUUUGUAUUUUUCAAAUCAGUUGCCAAAAUUUAUGUUGCCUUCUUCAAAAUGGUCGCGCGGAUGUAUUGUUUCUAAAAGAAAAAAGUUAAUAUAUAUUAAUAAUUAUGAUUAUAACUAUAAAUAUGUUGCAUCUAACUUAUAUAACAAUUCAUAAUGACAUCAAAACAAUUAUAAUUUUCAAGUAGAUAUUUUAAAAAAAGUAAAUGGGGUUGAAAUAAUAUAUGUGAUCUAUAUAUAUUGUAUAGUCUAUAUCUUAAAAUUUCAUAUUACUCCCUCCGUCCACGAAAGAACUUCCUACGAGGAAGUGACACGAGUUUUAAGAAAAAAAUUGUUGAGUGUAUUGAGAGUGGAGAAAAGGUUAUUGAGUGUAUUAAGAGUGGUGAAAAUGUGUUAUAAUUAAUAUUUAGAGUUGUGAAAAAGUGAAAAGUAAGUAAUUAUAAGUGGUGGGAUAUAGUCCAAAAAUAGGUAGAAAGUUUUUUUGUGGACAUCCCAAAAAGGAAAGAUAGGAAGUUCUUUAAUGGACGGAGAGAAUAUUAAUUAAAAUGCGGUUAUCUAUAUAUAUAUAUAUGAAACACCAGUUUUUGUUCCCGCCAAUUUUUCUCUUUCCAUUUACCAUGCACUUUUUUCUAUUUUUUCUUCUCUCCUCUCUCUAUCACACAUUUUACUACUAUUUUUUUCCAUACAAUUUCUCUCUCUCUCUCUCUCUCUCUCUUCAAUUCUAUCUUUCAUAUUUUAUUGAUUUUUAAAAAAAAUGAUAUAUGAAAAGAUAUUAAAUAUGGAGUGGAUUUUUAAAAUGACCACUUUGAAAUAGUAAACUUAAAAAUUGUCCACUAAAAUAAAAACAUUAAAAAAUGGCCACUGUUACCAAAAUACCCUUCCACAUUAAAAUUAAAAAAUGUCCACUUUACAUCACCCUUUUAAAAAAUCCCGCAAUUCACAACCAGUGUGAAUUAACAACCAAAAUUUUUUGGUUGUGAAUUGAGAAUUCACAACCAGAAUUUUUUGUUUGUGAAUUCACAACUAGUCGAAUUCACAGCCAAAAUUUAAUUAACAACCAGUCGAAUUCACAACCAAAAUUUAAUUCACAACUAGAAUUUUUUGGUUGUGAAUUCACAACAAACGAAUUCACAACCAAAAUUUAAUUCACAACCAGAUUUAUGUUGGUUGUGAAUUCACAAUCAGUCGAAUUCACAACCUGAAUUUAAUUCACAACUAGAAUUUAUUUUGGUUGUUAAUUCAAGUAGUUGUGAAUUUGAGUUUUUAAAGUUUGAAUUCACAAUUAAAACUGUAAUUUAUUUUGAUUGUGAAUUUAUAGAUUUGGUUGUAAAUUCAAGAAUAUUAAGUUGUGAAUUCAUCGAGCUAGUUGUGAAUUCAAGAACAUUAAGUUGUGAAUUCAUCGACCUGGUUGUGAAUUCUUAAAUCUAGUUGUGAAUUCAUAAAUGUGGUCGUGAAUUCAAGAACAUUAAAUUGUGAAUUCAUAAAUUUGGUUGUGAAUUUAAGAACAUUAAAAAAAUAAUUAUAUAGCUCAAUCAAAUUGGUGUACAACACCAAAAUACAACAACUCAAUCUACCAUCAAUCGACUAUACAUCAGUGAAAUAAAUUUCCUCUGUUUUUUCACAUCUAUUUCUCAUUCAUCAAGCUAAAAACAAAAAUCUCGACAAAAAUUGUGAAGGAAAAGUAGAUCGAAAUUCUUCAAUGAUGUGCCUAUUUACAGCUUUGAACACAUUUGUCGAACGCUGGAAAUUCUUCAAUCCUCCUCGGACGCUGGAAAAUUCUUCGGUGAAGAAGAAACGAUCUCUUAGAGAGGAAGAGGACCAAACGAAACCCUAGAGAGAGAGAGAUCGUCGAAAUCCACCACCGCCUCCACAGAUCCGCUGCCGCUGUGCGUCGCGGUGGUGGUGGUUCGCUGUGUGGCGGAGGCGGAGGCGGUGGCGGUCGCCUGAAUCUGGAUGCAGCCAUCUGAAUCUGGAUGGAUGGCGUCGUUUUCGGCGCUGCUAUGGGCAGAGACGACGAGGCCGGGGCGGCGGCGCUUCACCGGAGGAGAUAACACGCUAGAAAUCCGACGAAACCCUAAUCGAAAGGCCUCGCAAACCGCCUCUUCUCCGCCACACCCUCCAUCUCCGUCACCUUCGCACCACCGCCUGUAAAUCACCCCAAAACACCAAAAACAGACGAUUUUCCCUAAAUCCUUGCAAAUCCCUAAGUUAUUCGAGGAGAUUUGCCUUGCAAAACACCAGAGAGAGGAAGGCAGAGGGAGGAAGGAGAAGAAGAAGGGAAGAAAGAUAGAGCAAGAGAGAGAGAGAGAGCGAGUCAGCGAGAGGAGAGAGAGGAGUAUGAAUUUGUGGCUAAUUUUUUAAUUUUUAUUGUUAGGGGUAAUUUUGUACUUUUACACAAAAAGUGGCCAAAUUUUAAAGUUUUUAUUUGACUGGCCAAUUUUUAAGUUUACUAUAUGAAAGUGGUCAAUUUCAUAUAUUGACUCUUAAAUAUGCAUCUUAAAUUAAAGAUAAUGACAAGAUCAUAAAAUAUGAAUUUGAAACAAAUAAAUUAUUGUAGUUAAAAAUUUUAUGGUAAUUAUUUUUCUCUCUCCUCUUUCUUUUUCUCUAUUAUUUUAUUGUUUUAUCUUUUAUUUUUUUGCUCUAUUAUUAUUGUUGUUAUUCAUAAUUGUUUUAUCGUAAUUUAAUAAUUGUUGUUAUUAUAUAUUUUUCUCUCUCUCUACUAGAAAAUUUAUCUCUUAUUUUUCCUCUUUUGAUGAAAAAUUAAUUUAGAAUGAAUAAGUUAUGAUAAUUUAAAAUAUAUUUUAUUCUUUCCUCNAUAUAUAUAUAUAUAUAUAUAUAUAAAUAUAGAGAUAGAUUAGGCAGAUUGAGCCCGUCUCUGACCCAGCGGCCAUUUCUAAGUUACCGCCCUUUCUCCCCCAACCGCCCUUUCUCCGCCUCAGCCGAAUACUUCCCCUUUCUUUUCUUUUCUUUUUUGGUUUCUUUCUCCUAUUUCCUCGAAUUCGGUAUAUUUCUUGACAGAUAUCUGUGGAUACAUAGUGGACUUGUAGGUUAUAGCAGGGAUGUCUCGAGCCGUUGUACUCGGCGGUGUAGCUCUUCAUGAUCUCGCCAUCCAUGUCGAGGUUUGUCCACUUUUUUUUUUUGGUUUACUUUCCCAGCGAAUGCAUAAAGAAGUUUUAUAAUUUGGCUGUUAACUUAUUGUUGGUGUGUGUUUGACCGAUUUGAUUGAGUUUUAUACUUGAUUAACCCUAUUUAAUAGAGUUCUUGACCGAUUUUGUUGCGUGAAUCUACUUUUGUUGGAAUCGGAUAUUAGAUGAAUACACAUUAAGGGUAAUUCAUUACAAGAACGACAUGUAACGUAGAUUUGUUGAAAAAAUAGGGGGAAAACCUAUCUCUCUAUGUGCUACUAAGUUUUGAGUAGAUUGAGUAACAAUUAGUUGGGAACGACUGCAGUGUGGGAAGCUUCGCUUCCAUUCUUGGUAUUUUAUUUGUGUUACUGUGACAGGAAAUACUUCUUUUCCUUUACGUUUUAGGGUUCUGUGUAGAUCUUUUAUCUUGGUUGUAGUGCAGUGUCAAUAGUAUUUAUUUGGAUAUCAAUUGAAUUGAAACUGUGGAUUUCAGCUUGACAUGGAGGGGAACUCGACAGCAGCAGUGGAGGAGACUAACCAAGGGGGUUGUGACACUAACAAUAGUAACAUCAAUAACCAUUACGGAUUUUGUGCAAUAUGUUUGGAUAAAAUAGUACUCCAAGAAACUGCACUUGUAAAAGGUUGCGAGCAUGCCUACUGGUUUGUCUGGAUCUCUUAUUUUCUGUCAUUGUUUGUGAGAUCGUAUUGAGGGUACGAUCCCAAUUGCUUUAAUGUGCCAUCUGUGAUACGAUGAUGGGUGUUGCAGACUAGGAUGCAUGAGAACCACUUUCUGUGGGGCUGUGUUGGAGUUUGUCAUCCCUGAAGUUGCCAUUGCAUCGGUUAUAUUUGAAGCACGGGAAUUUCUUACAACUUCUUUGAAACUUGUGUUUUGCUUACAUCUUAAAGCUGAAGUUUCAUUUUGAAAUACUUGGGGGGAUUGCAACCCCUGGUCCUUCAUCUCUCUGCAUAAUACUAAAGUAAAAAAUGGCAUGUAUUUUCUUUUCUUGUAACAAGUUAAUAGAUUAUAGUCCAAGUAGAUAAAAACAUGCACGACCAGGUCCUGAUUGAGAUGUUGGCACAAGUCUAAAUUAUCUUGUAGACAUUAGCUAGUGAUUAUCUGAGACUUCUUUUAAAUCUAAUUCCUUGUCAGUUUAAAAGGAUAAUAAUAUUAAUAUGAGUUUGCUUUAUGUUCAACUUACUUUCGUGGUAAUACAUUGUGUUUCAUAUCCUUUUCCUCUUUUUUGUCAUCACAUGGAAUUUAUCAACUUUGUUUGUCCUCUAAUGAGUGAAGGACUGAAAGGAAAUGAUUACCAGCUAAUGGUCAUAUUACAAAAGUUAACUGUUCAGGGUUAUUUAUUUAUUUAUUUAUCAUUUUCUUUCUCUUUUUUCCUAAUCUUCAUUUUUGUUCUAUGUCUUACUGUGUAGUGAAAUAACCUGUAUAACUCACUCUGAACCUGAUGUCAACUGAAUAUGUAAUUAUGUAUUAUUAUUUGGUAGUCCUAUCAAUUUAAAGAUCUAUUGUGAUGCAGCUUACGUGCCAUUCGUUGUUGUGAAAGUGAAAGCAUGUUUUGAAUUAUCUUUUGAAGUAGAUGGCAAGGCAAUUCCAUUAUUAACUAACCAACAUGUUUUCUUCAGUGUGAAUUGCAUCUUGCUAUGGGCCUCUUGCAAAAAGGAACCAACAUGCCCUCAGUGUAAAAAGCCAUUUGAGUUCCUUAAUAUUCACCGUGCUCUUGAUGGAAGGUAAUCCAGCUCUCCUGCCUUAUUUUCCUCGGAGAUAUUUCGCCUUUAAAGUUUUUAUUAAUAUCAGAUGAUAGCAGAACUUAGAGAUUGUGGAAGUAAACUAGAGUACAUUUUGAUGCACAUGAUAUGUCUUACAAGUUCAUACUCUUUUUGAACAGCAUCCGGGAUUAUAUCUUCGAGGAGAGUGUAUGCCUUCUUCUAAGAGCGUCUUGGUUUAAGCCUUUGGUUGAAGUGGUGAAAGAAGAGUUGGAGAUAGUAGAAGAGUGUUACUAUGAUGAUGAGGAAGAUGAAUAUCCAGAUGAGUAUUAUUUGGGUAGAUCCUCAAGUCUCUGUAUUGGUAAUCGUCGAUGGGGAGACAAUGGAUAUGUUAGUGCAGGAAGACAAGAAGCACGGCCAUUUCACUCCUCUUCUAUCCAUGAUUCAGGUGCUGGUUCAUCUCGUCAGCCCAAGAAGAAAGAGACUCCUACUAAAGAGAUGGUUGGGCGGCGUGCAAAAAGGGCUUUGAAGCGAGAGGCUGCUGACAAGGCUGCUGCAGCCAAGCACCAGCAACAUCUAGCGAGGUUUGGCCGCAAGUAGAUCCUAUUGCCGUGAAAAACUACUAUAUUCUCCAAGCUAUUGUCAAUUAAAUAUAUACUCGAUGCUGAAUUCGAAAGUGUUGCUUGCCCUUUACUAUUCCUCUAACAUUUAGUUGUACAUUUUAUGUCUGUAGGCUAGUUCGACUUGAUUCUAAUGUUAGAUUCUUUUUCUAGAUUUUGGUUUUUACUAAAUCUGCUAGCUGAUGAUGUUUUGACCAACUGUGUGAUGAGGAUCUUUGCCGUUAGGAUUUUGUGUGUGAACCAAUAAUGAAAAAGGUAUGAUUGUAUGCAUGCGUGGCGUCGACAUGAAGGUGUGGCGCAUGUUGUUGUAGUGGGAUGAUGUGUGUGACCAAAGUUACGAGUCUUUGAAGGUUUGGAGAGGGAGAGAGAAAGGUGGUAAUGAAUAAUGAAAGAUGGGGGGGCCUCCAUUGCCUUUAGUGGAGCAAGUUUUCGUCGCUGCAAAGUGGAAAAAUAAGCUGCAUUGUGAAGCAAAGCAAUAUCACCAUCUCCUACCAAACCCUUUUUUCUAUCUCACAUCAUCAUUCUAUUUCAUUUUCUUUUCUUUCUCACCUACUGCAGACUUCAACCUUGUUAGUUCCCUUCCACUAUUGAAAUUUCUAAUGAUUUGGUUGUGUUGAAGAUGGAUUCCUUCUUCUCUGGGGUUGUUGAAAUCCAUGUUCAUCACGCGAGGAACAUCCACAACAUAUGCAUCUACGAGAAGCAGGAUGUGUAUGCCAAGUUCUCUCUGACCUGCAACCCCGACCACACCGUCUCCACCAGGAUCAUCAACGGCGGGGGGAGGAACCCCGACUUCAACGACAACCUGGCCAUCGACAUCAGCCACCCGGAUGCUGUCCUCAAAUGUGAAAUCUGGAUGCUCAGCAGGGCCAAGAACUUCAUGGAUGAUCAGCUCCUUGGAUUUGUAUUAGUCCCAAUCUCUUCCCUCUCUGCUAAUGCAACCCUCACUCAGGAUUUCCAUCUCUCCUCCACUGAUCUCUUUCACUCCCCUGCUGGCACCAUCAAGCUCUCACUUUUCUUGAAUGCAAACACUCCCACCAAUCCCAAUCCCUAUCCCAAUCCCAAUCCCACCCCUUUUGUUGCAACUUCACAGCUUCUCUCCCAAGACACCAUCAUCUCCGAUGACUACUGCAGGAUCGAGUUCCCUGACGUCAGCGUGGUCGAUCAGAACCAGCAGAUGGUGUCGGAGUACUUCGCCAAGAAUGGAGCUCCCCUGAGGCCGUGGGCGGACGGCUCGUUCCUCCGCCUAGGGGCCGCGCCCGAGGACUACGAGAUGGUGGCCAACUCCUCGGACGAGAGCAGCAGUGUCCAGAACUCGGGCAUGACGAGCUUGAGCGAUGAUCGGAACUCGGCGGACUCGAUGGAGAAGAAGGGGAAAAAGAGUGAGGAGGAGAAUGAGGAAUCGGCAAUGCAGCAGCAGAUAGUUGAUAUGUAUAUGAGGAGCAUGCAGCAGUUCACGGAGUCCCUCGCUAAGAUGAAGCUGCCCAUGGAUUUGGAGAAGGCUGAGGGAGAUGUGAUUCAUGAUGAGAGUGAGAAGAUGAGCAAGGAUAAUAAUAAUGAUAACAAUAAUAAUAAUAAUUGCAGGGUGUUCUAUGGCAGCAGGGCUUUUUUCUAAAUUAUAUAUGUUGAUUUAGAUUUGAGUGAAUGUCUUCUUCUUCUUCUUCUUCUUCUUCAAUCUGUGAAAUAACAGAAAUAAAUUAUUGAUGAAAGUGGAUGCAUUUUGAUUAUUGGUGUUGCUGGAUAGUGUAGAGUAGUGCUGAGUUAGGCACGGAAUUGUUGGUUUAUUUUGUGAUGUAACGUUUCGUGUUUCUUUCACCUAGUAAAGGGCAAGCAACACUUUGGAAUUCAGCAUCGAGUAUAUCUUUAUUUGACAAUAGCUUGGAGGAUAUAGUAGUUUUUCACGGCAAUCGGAUCUACUUGCGGCCCAACCUCGCUAGAUGUUGCUGGUGCUUGGCUGCAGCAGCCUCUCGCUUCAAAGCCCUUUUUGCACGCCGCCCAACCAUCUCUUUAGUAGAAGUCUCUUUCUUCUUGGGGUGACGAGAUGCAGCAGCAGCUGAAUCAUGGAUAGAAGAGGAGUGAAAUGGGCGUGCUUCUUGUCUUCCUGCUCUAACAUAUCCAUUGUCUCCCCAUCGACGAUUACCAAUACAGAGACUUGAGGAUCUACCCAAAUAAUACUCAUCUGGAUAUGCAUCUUCCUCAUCAUCAUAGUAACACUCUUCUACUAUCUCCAACUCUCCUUUCACCACUUCAACCAAAGGCUUCAAGGCCUGGAUGCUGUUAGAUGAAGAAGCCAUACACUCACCUCGAAGAUGUAAUCCUGGAUGCUUCCAUCAAGAGCACGCUGAAUAUUAAGGAACUCAAAUGGCUUUCUACACUGAGGGCAUGUUGCUUCCUUUUUGCAAGAGGCCCAUAGCAAGAUGCAAUUCACACUCAAGAAAACAUGUUGGUCAGUUUGCCUUGCCAUCUACUUCAAAACAUGCUUUCACUUUCACAUGUGAGGUGUGUGUAAUUGCAUUCAUUCUAGAAUUCAGUAGGAAGAGAGAAGAGAGCAUUGUAAUCAAGCUAAGCAUAGCCGUUGUUGUGGAGCUCGAAGCUUGCUAUAAUCUCUUGUUUUUUUCAUCAAUAUAAGUUCCAUCUGCUUUUCUCUGUGGAUGUAGGCACUUGUGCCGAACCACGUAAACACUUGUUCUUUCAUUUAUUUUUCAGUUUCUUGGUUAAUUGUUUUGGAUCGAAAUCUACAUUAUCUGAUCUCCCAAAUAGAUACUGAGCAUGGAUUUAAAUUGAAAACUCAAAUAAUCUAAUAAAUAUGUUCUUUUUCAUUCAAAUUCAAUAACUCAAGAAUGAAUCAAUCAUUCAUCGCACCUUAACCAAGGUCUUAGAAUUAUGAAUAUAUCAAAAAAUAACAGAACACAUAUAAGAUUACGAUGGUGUCUCAAGUCUAAGGACUAAUCGUAAACUAUUGUAACUUAGAAAAUCUUAUUUCGAUAAACUCCAUAUAAGAAUUUCUAGCGGGUCAAUUCAAUGUACUUGUUCUCCAACAAGCAUCCACAUAUAUAUACUUGCAUCAACUAUGCCAACAUUGAUGAAAUACAAUGCUCUCCGUUUGAUAGUUUUAUUAGGAUAUGGAAAGAUAAUUUAAGUCAAGAUAGAUAUCGUAGAUAAUGAGUGAUAAAUAUCGUAUAUUUGUGUUUGAUAGUUAAAUAGAAUCAAUGAGAUAACUAUUUUUUUUGUUUGAUAGAGAAUAUAUAACUUAAGAUUAAAUUAACAAAUUUUGCCAAAAAAAAAAUUAAAUUAGUAAAUUACUUUUUUAACCUUACUUUAAGAAAUAUAAAAAAAAUUAAUUUUUUUUUAUCAACAAACGUGUAAAGUCCCUAACCCCCACAAUUUAUUGAUAGAACACGUGCCCCCCCCCCCCCCCCCGCCCCUCUUUGAGCUCAUCCCCCAACCCCAACCCCAUUUUCUUCACAAGAAAAUCAGAACACGUCCCCCAUUUUCUUCUUCACAAGCUCACCCCCCCAAACCCCCGCCCCUUUUUUCUUGACAAGAAAACCACCGCCAUGGCUCCAAUUGCUGAUCCCAAACUCACAAAAAUCAAUUCUCUCAAUCAGAUCUCCACAAACCAUUUCACGAAACCAAUUAACAAAUAAAUUCACGAUGGUAGCUGGUCAUCGAAGGCUAGGCGACAGUAGCUGGUCGUCGAAGGCUGAAAUGGUCGGCGAUGCUGGGCUGGAAUUUGCACGAAGAAGAAGCGCUACUCACCAUCGAACAAUCGUAAGCGCACGAAGAAAAAAAAAGCUUUGUUGAUCCAGUUGCGAAGAAUACAAAUAAAUUUCAUGGGAGUAUUCGCUUUUUUCGUUUUUGAAGUUGGGUUCAGGAGGGGGAUAAAUUUGUCAACACAAAAUUAAUAUUUGUUACUGUACAAACCAGUAUAAUUUAACUUGGGGGAGGUGCGAGGUCCAAUUUCUCAAAGGAACAGUAUAUUAAGUGCGGGCUAGUUUUUUUUGCGGGCUGAUAUGUAAUAAUCCUAUCAAACACUCAUAUUUCUAUAGAAAUACUAAUUAACUCACGUAGUACACCCUAUCAAACUGGCUCGUGUAUACCAUACGUGCGAGUCUUUAUUUGACGAUUCAAUGUCCUAUUUUAAAUAGCCAUUUAACUCGGAAUUAAUUCAAGACCAAGAUUUCAUAAACAUAUAUAUAUUUAUAAAAAAAUUAGUGUUUGGUAUUAUUUAGUAAUAAUGCGGAUGACCCGGUUUAAUCCCACGACCCAGUAUUAUUAAUCCAGAUUUCUUAGGAUUAAUAAUACCACCUCCACCCUAGGAUUAACUUAAACCGGGAUAUUCUAUAUUUAGCCAUGAUAGCAAACACCAACUCAGUAUUAAUAAUCUGUCGUUAUCCACGCUAAUUAUCCUACAUAAUCCUUUACUGAAAAGCAAACGAGCCCAAAGGUCUAAGGAUAUAGUCAUCGAAUAACUAACAUAAUAGAUAAGUAAAAACACCUUUCAUCGAUAUAAAUUUCAAUGAAAUUGAAAUUACAAAUAGAAAUAAAUACAAUAAAAAGAGUAAAUCGAUUAAUUUAAUUAAUUGGUCCCGAGUGUAACUCUUUCAAUAAAUAUGGAAUUUUUUUUACCCAUUACCACUAAAUGAAAUGUCAACACUUACAUAAACUCAGUCGUCCUAUCUAUAUCUUAGGCCAUUAAACUGCUUGUUAAUUUAUUCAACCAUCUUUCUCCCUUUUUCUUUGUUUUGUUAGAACUACACGUACACUCAUAAGUCAUAUAUGCUCGCGGACACGCUAAUCUUUUUAGGUGAUUCAAAUGCCAAUAGUCUUUAGUGUUUCUAUAACCACUCAGGGUUUUGUUGCAUUAUGUUAUAUUUUAUAGUUUUUGUCUCGAUUUUUGCUAUAACAAAAAAAAAAAGNAAAAAAAAAUUAUGGUUCAAACUCCACCACUGCUCCUCCCCCAAGUAAAAAAAAUUGCUGUCAAAUUAAUAGUUUCAUAGCUUUGAAGUAUAUUAAUUAACUAUAAGGGUGUGUUUACUUCGAUUGAAAAAUAGAGAAAACAAAAAUAUUUUCACUCAUUUUUUCACAAUUUUCACCUAUUUAUUAUGAUGAUUUAUUUUUCGAAUAGUGUGAAAUAUUUUCUCGGGCAACUUCUUUUCGCUCAUUUUCUCUCCAAUAUUAAAUAACAUUAUCCUAGGAUAAGGGUGUGAAAGGUUUUCCCAACAUUUUCUCAUUUUUUUUCCAUCUCUAGUAAAUAUAUAUGAUAAAAAAAGGGGUUAAGUAUUAAAUUCCCCCUAUCGAUGGCGUCUCUAUCGCGUACAUGACCUUAUAUUCAGGUUCAAAGCUGUUUACUACCUCAACGUAGCAAAAUCGCACCAAAUACCCCCGUCAAAAUUGUACAGGACCCUAUAAUCAUGGUCAAAGCUGUUAACCCCCGUUAAAUGGCGCGCGCGGAAGGGGGGGGGGUGGUGGAAAUUUGGUACGAUUUUGCUACGUUGAGAUAGUAAACAGCUCUAACUCUGACUAUGGGGUCAUGUACGCGAUAGGGACGCCAUUGAUAAGGGGAAUGUGACACUUAACCCUAAAAAAGAAAAUUAAUAUUUUUUAUCCAUUCUUUUUCAGUUGAAAUUUUAUAACAAAAUAAAUGAAUCCUAAAUAUAAAAUUAAUAAGUCAACUUUAUUUUUUGGUUUAAUAUACAUUGUCUAAUUACUCCGUUUACAACAAAGCCGAUCAUAAAUAGAAAUUAUAGACAGGUGAUUCCACUGAUCAAGAAUUUCAAUAUUUGAAUAGUGCUAGUGCAUCAUUACUGUAAUACAUAGGCCACAUUAUAUUUAUUAUUUUUAAAUUCAUAAAAUAUUAAUAUAUCAUUAUUUAUUAAUUAGAUUAAUUAGUAAUAAAAAAUAAUUUUCAUUAAUUUAAUUAUUAAUAAUUAAUUUAAAAUAGUCUAUAAUAACAAUAUUAUCAACUCAAUGAGUAUCGUAUAAUAGUAAUUAAAUUUAUAGAUUGUAAAGCAAUUAUUUAAGUCAAUCUCAUUUUAAGGAACUAGGGCUGUAAAUGAACAGAGCUACUCGCAAGCUGUUCGAGAUUUGGCUCGAAAAAAGUUCGUUCGGAGCUUGAUUCGAUAGUAAACGAGCCAAGCUCGAGCUUGAUUUCGAGCUCGAGAUUUUUAUCAAGCCGAGCUCAAGCCUGACAGAACUCGGCUCACGGCUCAUUGAACUCGUGAAUAUGUUCGGAUUCGAUUAUUCGCGAACAUAUGUGCAAGCCUGUUCACGAACCCUCAGCCGAGCCUUCAAUCGAAUUAGUGCACGAACUCGAGCUCGAGUAACACAUUAAUUAAGAAUUUUUUCCUAAAUUUAUAACGAAUUCGAAAUCGAACAUCAUAUCAUAUAUAUAAAUAUCUAACGAGCCGAGCUCGAGCUCGAACUCGAAUUCGACAUUAUCGAGCAUCACCUAAGCCGAGCUCGAACCAAGCUCGAGCUUGGUAAAUGGGUGAUGAGCCGAGCUUGAUCAACAAGAUAAAAGCUCGAAUCGAGCUCGAACACCCGAAUAUUUAAACGAGCUGAGCUCGAGCCUACUAGAACAAAUAAGACUAAAUCACUAAACAAUCAAUAUAACAAAAUUAAUAGCUCGUACUUAAUAUAGCAAUUAUGGAUUCUUAAAGGUCCAAACUACAGUAUAUUAAAAGUCCAUAACUAAAUAAUCCAAAACUAUUUAAAAAGUCAGAAAGUAUACCAAAAAAAAAAGAUAACAACAAACAUAAAUAAAUAAAAAUUCAUGCACGAAAUAUAGCUAAUAUUAGAUAAAAUUUAUAUAAUAUUUGAAAUUCUAUACUUUUAGAUACAUAACUAAUAUUUCAUCUACAAAUUUAUAUAAAAAUUAAUAAAAAACAUAUUCCCUGAUAAAAAAAUUUAAUUUUGAAAUUUAAAACUUUUGAAAUGAAUCUAUAUAAUCUCAUUCUACUUAAUUGCAUUAAAAAUUUAUUAUAACUUAAAUCUAUGUAAAUUUAAAAAAUAUUACACGUUCAUCCAUAAAAAUUGUAUGGUGGAGUGGAGGACACAAGUUUUAAUUAAUAAUUGAGAGAUGUUUAUAAAGUGUAUAAGAUAGUUCCCCAAAAUGGGCUAAAGAAAGGGACUUACCAAAAUUGAUGUGGAAGAUAGUUGGGUAUUUUAUAAAUAGUGAGUGUGUAUGAAGUUUAAAAUUUAAGGGAUAGUUUUCCCAAAAAGAAAACAUAGAAUCUUUGUAGACGGAGGAAAAUAAUACUUCCUCAGUCCCAUUAAUAAUGUCACACUUACUAUAUUUGGACAUUCCACUAUUAAUGUCUCAUACAAUUUUAGUCUAAAAUUAACUAUUUAAAAUAUUAUUAAUGGUAGGCCCAACUCACUUUAUACUCAAACUCACUUAAAAUAACUUUAAAUGUCUUCCAACAACUCACUUUAUGCAUUAACUACACUUUUUCUUCAUCUUUAUGCCUAAAAAUAAUGGGAUUGAGGGAGUAAGAAACAUAUAAUCUUUGUGUACGGAGGAAGUACAAUUAAACAAUAAUGUAAUUUUUUUGAAAAAAAAAAUGAAAUCUACUUUUAUAAAAAUAAUGAAAAAUAAUUUUGAUAUUUUAAACGAUCAUGACUUGCAGAUUUCAAGUCUAAUUUUUUUUACAUCAAAUUAAAGAUCUUAUUAUAAUCUUUAAUUUGACAUCUAUAUGAGUAUUUUUUUUUAUGAAUUGAAGUUGACAAUUAUUAUAAAAGAAUGAAAUCUACUUUUAUAAAAAUAAUGAAAAAUAAUUUUGAUAUUUUAAACGAUCAUGACUUGCAUAUUUCAAGUCUAAUUUUUUUACAUCAAAUUAAAGAUCUUAUUAUAAUCUUUAAUUUGACAUCUAUAUGAGUAUUUUUUUUUAUGAAUUGAAGUUGACAGUUAUUAUAAAAGAAUCAAAACAAGAAAAUAAGAUUAAAUGAGAGAGAAAAUUUGAUAAGAAAACUCAAAUUGUCAUUAAAAUUCAUAUAUAUAUUUUUUUUUUUUUGGUAAAUAGAGGGGGGUUUAUUACCAAUGAGCAAUGUCGCAAAAUUUUACAAGCUAACAAAGCAAAGACUACUAACUGAGUCUAAUUCUUCAAAUAUCUCAUCAUUUUCCUGUCAUUUACUCCCAUUGUAAUUAUGUGUAGUUGGCACUGUCUAACCACUUGCUCAACCGUACACACAUUAUCCCCCAAUUUCCUUGCAUUUCGUNAAUAGAGGGGGGUUUUAUUACCAAUGAGCAAUGUUGCAAAAUUUUAACUAAGACUAACAAAGCAAAGACUACUAACUGAGUCUAAUUCUUCAAAUAUCUCAUCAUUUUUCUGUCAUUUACUCCCAUUGUAAUUAUGUGUAGUUGGCACUGUCUAACCACUUGCUCAACCGUACACACAUUAUCCCCCAAUUUCCUUGCAUUUCGUUCCUUUCAUAUGCAAUAAACCGUAGUAGAUAGCACCAAUCUAUAGAGAUGUUUCCUUCCAGACUUGAUUCUGCAUUGUGUCUCCAUGAAGCUCAGCUCCCCUUGCCAAUCUAACACUUGUUCAUGAACUCCACUCCAUCCAGCAAGUUGCUUCCAAAUAUUUGCAGAAAAAGAGCACUUGAAAAAUAAGUGAUCAAUAGUUUCAUUCUCAAUCAUGCACAAAGAACACUCAUUAUCACGAUAAAUUUCAAUUUUCUCCAAUUUUUCCACAGUAUAUAGUUUUCUUAAGAUAGCCGGGUGGUGCAAUAUUCCUUGUAAGCAUCAUUUGUCACUCCACAUUUGGAGCAUCACCCCUCAUUGCCACAUACAUUCUUCGUAGAGAAUGUAGACUGAUUUAUCUUAUAUAUAUUAUAUUGAUUUAUCUUAAUUUUUUAAUUAGUAUUAUAGUCCUCCUACAAGAAGGUUUCCAUUUUGUCAAGAUUAACAGAUAAAAAAGCAUGUUUAGAAAAAAAAGAAAGAAAAAAAGCAAAACAUCAAUGGAAACAUUUAGGGAAAAAAAUUGCUAAAAACAACAACUAGUAUUCUAGAACAGAGCUAAUAUAAAAUAAUAAGGGUUAUUAAUAUUUUUUUAUCUCGAACUUUCAGUAUUUUCCAUAAUAUGUUCCGAAUUUUCAUUUUCUUUUUAAAAAAAUCGAAUUUUUAAUUUUUUCAUAAAAUAUUUUGCUAUACAAAAUCAGAUGAUGGAAAGAUGACAAAAAAAAAAACUUCAAACUUUCAGCGUUUUUCAAUAAUGGUGGUUCCUAAUAUGGUUUUUCAAUAAUGACGAUCCCCAAAAUAUUUCAUUCGACGAGAUCAGUCAUCUUUCUGUUACUAAAUUUUGUAUAGCUAAAUAUCUUAUAGAAAAAACUGAAAGUUCGGAGUUUUUUAGGGAAAAAUGAAAGUUCAAGAUAUUUUAUGAAAAAUGUUGAAAGUUCGGGACAUAAAAUACUAUUGAUCCAAAUAAUUAAUGUACACAACUUUUAAAUUAAAAUAAUAAAUUUAUUUAAGACAAUCAUAUUUUAUCAUCAAAUGUCAAUAAUAUAAUAGAAUUACCUUAAAAAUAUGUAUACAUAUAGUUAAAUAAUUAACAAGGUCAAACUUAAAUCAAGUUAGUUAAAUUUGCACUAAAAUUUAUAUGUCAGAUUUAAAAGUCAACAGUACGUAACAAAAAGUAUCAACAAAUUUGCACUAAAAUUUAUUCGGAAAACUUUGACAAGGAGAAAAAUGAAAAGAAAAAUUGCAUGAACUAAGAAGUAUAUAAUAAUAGCACCUCUUUGCAGAUGUAAUAUGUAAAGUUACUUAUAUACCCCUCAUGUAUUUUAUUUUUCUAGAAAUAAUUUACCUUAUUUGGUUACUGAUCAAACUAUUUAAGUAUUUAAUUACAAUAAUAUCACAUGUAUCCUAUAUUUAUAUUACCAAACAAAUCCUAUGUGACUUGAAUUUAUGGCAAAUUCUCUUGUAUUGUAUAAAUAAUACAUCAAUUGAUGUGUAAAUUUAGACGGAUAAUUAUUUUAGUUAUAUUUAUAAUUAUAAUAAAUAAAAUAAUAUUUAUGUCAAAAAUGUAUAGUAACAUAUAUUAAAUAUUCAUACAUAUUUACAUAUAUAAAUAUAAUUUAUCACAAAUAAUUGAUUAUCCGUCUCAAUAAAGACUCAAAUAUUAAAGAAUAAAUAUUCACAUACAAAAUUAAGAAAUUAUAAAUUAAAAAAAAUUAUGUAAACAUGCUGAUAAAAUAUUCGCACCCGUAAAAAAUGUAUGUUACUUAUACCUAGAUAAUUUGAAUAGUAAAACACUUAAAAUUAGAGAAAAUUUCGCAAAGACAUGUUGAUAAAUGUUCUUGCCCGUCUAAAAUGUACUACUCGUACUCGUCCCAAUUUUGAUUAGUUACACGAACUCAUUUAAUUUUAUAAAUAUAAGUUGUUACAAAUUUAUAUAUGUAUUCCUGUUUAUAAUUUAUAUACUCAUAUUAAUCUCAAAUUCAAUUAAAAUAUAUUUUUGUACCCAUUCAUGUCUCAAUCUCUUAUAGUUAUAUCCGCUAAUUAAAUAAUAUACUUCCUUCGUCCCUCAAAUAACUUCAUAUUUUUCUUUUUUGGGUCGUUCCCCAAAUAAAGUCAGGCUUGGAACAUUAUUUGUGCAGAGAUGACCUGGGAAAAUAAAAUCAGGGUGACUUUCCAUCGGGACUAGGCUGACACUCCUGGAUCCACCCAAUCCGGGUCAACCUCCUCGAUUGCUCCUUCUUCCACCACAGCGCUAGUUGUUAUGCUCAAAAUAAACAGAUCUAACGUAAAGCUAUAAAGACGCAAGAAUGGUUUGGAACUUUAGGAUUUUGUAUUGACUUUGAGUAAUUUGCGAGUAAUGUAUCAGGUAGGUCAUAAAAUAGUGUGUGUUUACUGUUGGGAACUUAAUGAAAUAUCAUAACCCUAAUUUUGAUGAUACCAAAAUCCUUAGGUUUUCUUUGUAAUAGACUAGAACUUUCCGAACUCAAGUGUUGGAGUUCUUUUUCUAGUUUAUCUAGUGUUCUGAAGACUGAAGACCGGAGGACUGAAGACUGAAGACCUCAAUUGAAGUUAGCUGUGAAAAGGCCAAGUCAAAUACUGAAGUUUUGACUAAAAGAGUUGCUUACUGAAGAAUCAGUUAUGGCUUAAGUAAUAAUGCAGGCCACGUGGAUUUAGCAGACUGAUACUCAAGUCAAGUAUCAGUUGGCAUUCUUCCUCAGACUGAAACUCCUGAGUAUAAAGGAAGCCACACACCUUCAAGUACAACCGCAUUAAAUGCAGAGAUAUUGAAGAUCGUCCUUUCUCUGCAGAGUAUUCAUUUUUGGUGAUAACUUUUCAGAGACGCCUUACCUCUUAUAUCUGAGACGUCGUUCUUCACCAAAUUAAGGAACCUCGAAUAUUGAAGCCUCAGGCAAAUUCAAAUUACUCUCACAACGGAUGAAUUCUUGAAGACCAUCUCAGCCAACAGAUCUAUUCAAGACUUCUCCUAUAAAUAGAGCUUGAGGAACAUGACAAUCUUCACCGAUUCAAACGCACAAGCUGAAACUCUGCCAAAAUCGCAACUCAGCCAUUCACUGUCUUCAAAAGUUUUGAAUCGAAUAAGCGAAUUCCCAAAGCCAAAAUCAGUUCUCUGAUUUCAUACAUUCUCUUAGUUCCUUAGGCAAAUUCUUUGUAAUAUCCAAAGCCUAAGUUUCUUAUUACAGAGAGCCCGUUCUCUGUAAUCUAGUUGGUACUUCAAAUCCCUAAGAGUUUGAGUAGAGAGGAGUUCAGACCAGUGUUCUGACUCCAAGAGAUCUUAGCCACCCGCUGGAAAAGACACUUGUGUCUUAGCGUGCUAAGAGUGAGCGAGAAAUCCAACUCAGAGUGUUGGUACUGGAAAUUGUAUUUUCAGUCUAAGGUUUGCUAUGCAACCGUAAGCACAAGCCCAGAGUUAGGGGUGAGCAAUCGGUCGGUUCGGUUUGAAAACCGAUCCGAUCUCUUAAAAUCAAAUCAUCCAAACUUUUAAAAAAUGUCAACCGAUCCGAACCAAAAUUUUCUUUCCAACCGAUCCGAUCCAAACCAUACUUAAACUUCGGUUUCGGUUCGGUUUUCGAUUUAACCAAACUUUGAUAUAAUAUUUAAAUUUUUAAUUUUAGAAACGUAUUUCCUGUCAAUUAGAAUUUUGUAACAAAAUAAAUUAAACCGACCUCAACUCAAAUAUUAUAUUAACCAUAAAUAUAAAAUUUGCCUAUCCAUUGACCAAUUUCAAUUAUGAUAUAUAUAUAUAUAUAUAUGUGUAUAUAUAUAUAUAUUAUGACUUAUUAAAUUAAAAAACUUCGGUCGGUUCGGUUUUAUCCAAAUUUUUUAAAUACAAAACCAAUCCGACCAAAACAAAUUCGGUUUUUCUAAAAUUAGAACCGAUCCGAAACCAAAACAAUUCAAAACCGAACCAAACCGACCAAAUACCAAUGGUUCAGUUUUUAUUUGGAUCCGGUUCGAUUUUGCUCACCCCUACCCAAAGUGAUUGUCAAUGUGUUUAACUGACCGUGGACGUAGAAACUUGUUCCGAACUAUGUAAAAAUCCUUUGUUAUUUUUUCUCUUUCAGUUUUACUUUCUUAUCUGUGCACAAACUUGUCUAUAACUGAAACUGAUUAAUUGCAAAGUGAAACUAUAACCUGACAACGUGUUAAUCAAAGGCUAUUUAAAAGUUAAGUUUUCCGCUACCAGUGUUAUUAGUCUAACUGAUAAAUCUUCUGAUAAUCAGUAAGAUUCAUAACACUCAUCUGUUUCACAACCUGACUGUAGUCCCUUUUUGGAUAUCAGUCAAAGUUCUGUUGUUUAACUGAAACUAUUUAACUGCUCUUCUCUUCAAACUCCUUUAGUAUCAGUUGAUACUAUUUCAGUUAACAUCAAAUUUUUUCGAAAAAUAGAAGUUUGUAAGUGAUUGAGUUGAACUAUAAUUCCUCGAGUUUAUUCAUGCUUUCAUGUCAAUCUUCUACUUUAUCGGGUAUAUGAUAGCAUCAAGAUAAUGUCAAAUCUGCCAGGCAGCGCUGUUUUCGGUCUGGUUAGGUUGACUUUGCCUUAAUUUCACCGAUUUUUCGAAGAUGCAUACUUUUUUUCUCCUCACAUUUGAUUUUAUNNNNNNNNNNNNNNNNNNNNNNNNNNNNNNNNNNNNNNNNNNNNNNNNNNNNNNNNNNNNNNNNNNNNNNNNNNNNNNNNNNNNNNNNNNNNNNNNNNNNNNNNNNNNNNNNNNNNNNNNNNNNNNNNNNNNNNNNNNNNNNNNNNNNNNNNNNNNNNNNNNNNNNNNNNNNNNNNNNNNNNNNNNNNNNNNNNNNNNNNNNNNNNNNNNNNNNNNNNNNNNNNNNNNNNNNNNNNNNNNNNNNNNNNNNNNNNNNNNNNNNNNNNNNNNNNNNNNNNNNNNNNNNNNNNNNNNNNNNNNNNNNNNNNNNNNNNNNNNNNNNNNNNNNNNNNNNNNNNNNNNNNNNNNNNNNNNNNNNNNNNNNNNNNNNNNNNNNNNNNNNNNNNNNNNNNNNNNNNNNNNNNNNNNNNNNNNNNNNNNNNNNNNNNNNNNNNNNNNNNNNNNNNNNNNNNNNNNNNNNNNNNNNNNNNNNNNNNNNNNNNNNNNNNNNNNNNNNNNNNNNNNNNNNNNNNNNNNNNNNNNNNNNNNNNNNNNNNNNNNNNNNNNNNNNNNNNNNNNNNNNNNNNNNNNNNNNNNNNNNNNNNNNNNNNNNNNNNNNNNNNNNNNNNNNNNNNNNNUCAUUUAUGAAAUAUGUUAUUUAUAGUGGAACAACUCAAAAUUAAAUAUAUACCACUUUUUUAGUGGGACAGAGAAAGUACUCACUCCGUCUCAUUUGUAUUGACCCCUUAUUUUUGAGUACGAAGAUUAAAAAAAUAUUUAUUUACUUUUGAGAGUACUUUCCCUGUUCGACAAAACCAACUCAUGGUUAGGAAAUGGCACAAUGAAUAACUUUUGUGGAGAACAAAAGUAUUUACUCCCUCCGUCCACUAAUUUAUGACCUAGGAGAGGAAACACGGGUUUUAAGAAAAAGUGUAUUAUUUAUUAGUUAAAUGGAAAAAAUGACCCACAAAAUAUAUUGUUUAUUAGUUGAGUGGAGAAAUGGACAAAUAAAGUGUAUUGUUUAUUGGGAUCCACCAAUUAAAAAAUGUAUAAAGAGUUACUAAAAAUGGGUAGGACAUAAAUUGGUGGACGGACCAAAAAAGAAAGUAGACUAUAAAUUAGUGGACGGGGGAAGUAUAUUAGUGAACAGAAGAUUAGUAAAAUAAUUCAUUAAGCAUUGCCAAAAUCAACAAAACACCACAAUUAGUAAUAUAUAGUGAACAGAAGAUUAGUAACAUAAUUCAUUAAGCAUUGCCAAAAUCAACAAAACACCAUAAUUAGUUACAAUAUUACAAAGAUUAGGAAAUGGCAGGAGUUUCUAUUUGAAUUCCGACUCCCUUAAUUGCAAUAAACGUUUUGGUUGACAAGUUGACAUGACUGCCCACUAAUAUCACCGCAGUCUAUAAAUAUAGUUAUAGCCUUAUAGGAAUAGGAACUAUUCAAUAAUUUAUCCCUUAGUUGAAACAUAGAGAGAAUAUUUUUUUACUCCGUCCGUCCACGAAAUAAGUACCCAUUUGUGGACGGCACGAGUUUUAAAAAAUAUAUUGAGUGUAGUGUGAAUAGAAUAAUGGUCCCACAUUUUUUAGUGUAUUAAUUAAAAAGUUUUGUGGAGUACACUUGCCAAAAAGGGAAAUGAGUACUGAUUUUGUAGACGGACGAAAAAGGAAAUAUGGGUACACAUUUCGUGGAUGGAGGGAGUAUUAUUUUGUAAUUAAAUAUUGUCCCACGUCUAAUUGUACAUGGAUCUCUGCGUGUAUAAGUCCACUGCUACAAAACGUUGACAUCAAACUCCUCUUCAUUGCGUGUUUUAGUGUCUAAUUGUGUUUUCGGCCGUGUUGUUCGCCCCUGGUAUGUUUGUAGAUCUGCUAUUCUUUGCGUGUUUCUUAAUUCACUGCAAAAUGCUAAUGCUACAGAUGCUCAAAGUUGAAGCUCUUUUAAUUUUUGAUUGAUUGAUUGUCAAUUUAUGAUGCUUUUCCGAGAGGGAGAGAGAAGGGUUUAAAGAUUUAAUCUUUUUUUUUGUUGUUGUUUUUGUAUCUUUCAGAAUAAGUUUGUCAUGAUUACUGGAAAUUUGUGCCAAAUGUGCACACCUGUUUAUAGAA
rnacentral:lncRNA from 1 species